AUAGAAGGAUUAGUGCCCGUAGCAGUGCUGGAGUUAGGUUAUGAUGGUCGUGAUGAGCUCUACUAGAAAGAAAAUCUCUUCUAUUCAUAGAUGAAGUCUUAUCUAAGGGCCUUCGUUGCCCUUGAAUUUUGUUCCCUAGUUCAAUCCGGAACUCCAAAUUUGUAAGUAGCGGCCAAGCGGCUCUGUCCUUUUCAAAGUGGUUAUCCUUCUCUCUCCCCACUUCUUAGUCUUAUAGGAUAGCUCACCAUUCAAGUAAGUCACUUUACCCAACGCUUACUGUCUUCUUUCUAGCCUAAUUGGUAGAAGUCCCUUUUUAGUACCCCCUUUCCAACCAGUCAAGUGGUUUUCACUCCUUGAUAGUCAGUCUAUUACCCAGCCCUGAUCCCAUGCUUUUCAUUGGUCAACAACCAACUAAAGUGCUCUAUACUUCUUCACUACUCGUACAGGAUUGACGGAGUUAAGCUAUAUUGAGGGAAUCGUUUUGUCUCAAUCAAUCAUGAAUGCCUCAACUAGAUAAAUUCACUAUUUCACACAAUUCUUCUGGUCAUGCCUUUUCCUCUUUACUUUCUAUAUUCCUAUAUACAAUGAUGGAUAUAGAGUACUUGGGAUCAGCAGAAUUCUAAAACUAUAGAACCAACUAUUUUCACAUCAGGAGAACAAGAUCCGGAGCAACGACCCCAAUAGUUUAGAAGAUAUCUUGAGAAAAGGUUUUAGCACCGGUGUAUCCUAUAUGUACUCAAGUUUAUUCAAAGUAUCCCAAUGGUGUAACACCGUCGACUUCUUGGGAAAAAGAAGAAAGAUGACUUUAAUCUCUUCUUUUGGAGAAAUAAGUGGCUCAUGAGGAAUGGAAAGAAACAUAUUAUAUUUGAUCUCUAAGUCUGUACAUAGCAAUCCUGGGUGGGUCAUCACUUGUAGGAAUGACAUAAUGGUAAUCCAUGUUCCAUACGGCCAAGGAAGCAUCGGUUUUUAAUCUCAUUAUGACUUGGUCAUUUGGAAGAGCAAUUAAUUCGAUCAGAAAAGUGGAAUGGAAGGCUGUAAAAGAAUGAAAUACUCCUUUCUUUUCCAAUUGCCCCUCAAAGAAAGACGCUCAGAAAGGUUCUUGAGAUUCUCAAUCGCUAUUUUUAGUGGGGACGAAUAGUUCGGGAAGAGAGCGAGAUCAAGCCAAGCCACUAGUAAAGUAAGCCUUUCCCACGUGUCAAGUUGAAUAUGAAUAAAUGAAUGCAGCCUCAACCAGAGAGAUCAACCUACGCCUUUGAGUUGAGGCCGAUGGCGGCGCAGAAUGAACUAAUCCACGACCAGCUAGUUUUCUGAAAGCGAACUGAAUCGAAUUGUUACUUCCCAAAAAUCUUGCUUCAAAUCAAAGAAAGAAGGUCUAUUUUCCCACGUAGUUCGUCGGUCAAACCAACGAUUCUCUUCUCAAAGUAAUAGAGAGAGUCUUUUUCCAGUUAGACUUCUAUCAAUGGAAUGAAAGAACCAUCCCUUCCUAUUUCUUUGUUUGUUCUGUCAGAUAGAAAGCAAAUUAGACCCCAAAGAGCUCUUCUUUACUUUACUACUUUAGGGGGGUAGGGGUGCAGGGGGGGUUUACAUUGAACCGAGGCAAAGUGGUUUAUGAUUGAAUCUCAGAGGCAUUCUUAUCAUUUGGUAGAUCCAAGUCCAUGGCCUAUUUCGGGUUCACUCGGAGGUUUGGCAACAACCGUAGAAGGUGUGAUGUACAUGCACUCAUUUCAACGGGGUGCAAAACUUCUCAGUUUAGGUCUCAUAUUUCUCCUAUAUACCAUGUUCGUAUGAUGGCACGAUGUUCUACAUGAAUCCACGUUCGAAGGACAUCACACCAAAGUUGUACAAUUAGGACCUCGAUAUGGUUUUAUUCUAUUUAUCGUAUCAGAGGUUAUGUUCUUUUUUGCUCUUUUUCGGGCUUCUUCUCAUUCUUCUUUGGCACCUACGGUAAAGUUCGGAGGUAUUUGGCCCCCAAAAGGGAUUGCGGUUUUAUAUCCUUGGGAAAUCCCUUUUCUUAAUACCCUUAUUCCCCUUUCAUCCGGAGCUGCCGUGACUUAGGCUCAUCAUGGUAUACUCGCGGGGAAGGAAAAAUGAGUAGUUUACGCUUUAGUAGCUAUCGUUUCACUGGCUCUAGUAUUCACAGGCUUUCAAGGAAUGGAAUAUUAUCAAGCACCCUUCACUAUUUUGUUUAGUAUUUAUGGUUCUACCUUUUUCUUAGCAACUGGCUUUCAUGGUUUUCAUGUGAUUAUAGGUACUAUUUUCUUGAUCAUAUGUGGUAUUCACCAAUAUCUUGGUCAUCUGACCAAGGAGCAUCACGUUGUCUUUGAAGCAGCUGCAUGGUACUGACAUUUUGUAGACAUGGUUAGGUUAUUCCUAUUUGUCUCUAGCUAUUGGUGGGGAGGCAUAUGAAGGAAGGAAUCAGUGGAUACAAAGAGAACCGGGCUUUUCCAAAGAAUUACUGUAGCUUUAUCACUCCCUUUGAUUAUCAUAUACAAAAAGGUCUCUUCUACUUUCCUACCAAAUCUUUCUCUAUUCUGGCACAUAAAUGAAGGGAUCGAAGAGAUUAUGGCAGAUCAUGUUCACCAAGAAAUGACCCAAAAUUAGAUCUUGGUCUAUGUGACAUUGUUCCUUUUAAUCGUAAUCAAACAUAUUUUCUUGUCUCUCGUUUCUUUUCUAAAAAAAAAGAACCUAAUGGAUCGAACUCAUAUGUUGUACCUGGUCAUUUAAAUCUAAUCUCUAUUUCGGUACAACGAGAAGGGGGGCUUCACCUGAUCACUCUGAAUCCGCUGAUCAGGAAGAGAGAAAGGAAGAUGUUUUUUCUUUAGAUAAAGCAGAAGCUCAGUCCUGGCCUCUUUGGCAGUAGCUAGACUGAAUUCAUAACCCGCCAUCUUUGGGAAGGAGUCGUCAGAUCUUGCCCAGGCAAAGGAGCGAUCGACACUCGCUCCCAAGUUUAUAGAAGUGGUAAGCGCAAGGAAAAGUUGAUUCAGAAAAGGGAAGAGGAGUAGCCUAGCCUGGUUCUUGUUUGUUUUCCUUAGCGGUAUAGUACGGCACAUAGGAAAUCACAAUCAGAGAGAAGUAAUGAUAUGAUAGAUCCGCAGGAAAUUGCAAAGUACAUGAAUUCUCUAUCUCUUUCCUUAGCUGAGAGAGAGGGAGUGCACUUUCGACAUGCAGACAUAUCUCGUUGAAUCAAUCUUUUUCAUCACAUCGUGUAUAAGGGGAAUCGAACCACCUCUGCUGGUGGCGGGUAGAUGUAUAAUGUACUACUUCGAUCCAGGAACUUCUUAGGAGUAGGUUUUGGCUUGGGAAAAAUCCGUGGAUAAGCGAGAAUAUACAAAUAUUUUUGUUAGAAGGUUUCCCCUUACAGUCUUUUUUGUUAAAAUAAAUGUGGAUGGGUGUCUGCUUUCUUUGAGAAUUUGGAUUGUACAACCAAGAAUGUGGCUAAAUUCUGGGACAUCUACUAUGGCCUUAUGUUGGCAUGGGAUUUGGGUUACAAACAGGUCAUUCUUGAAACAGAUUUCAAGCACAACUGAUUUAAGCUUGCAGGAAUCUUGUUCAAAGGGAUUGGCAGUGCUUUUAUAAGCAUACUCAUAGAGAAGAGAGAAGGUAAGAUCAUAGCCAACUAGUUGGCAUCUGAAGCUCUGAAGCAGCCAUCGAGUUAUUAACUGGUUUUGACCUAUCUGCCUGGACAUAAGAUAUCUAUAAAGGAAGAAAGAAAAGGAAAACGUUAUUGUAAAUGGCAUGAGAAAUGGACUCACACUACAAAUAAUUGUGUAAAUUGAAGGAGUCUGAUUCAAGAUUACUUAGACAAAGGUUUGUUCCAGAUAGCAGACCGACCAAUGUGAAUCGAGACAUCAUCAUUUACGGGAGCAGUAGAGAUCAAUAUGAUGUCUGUUGACUUAAGAAAGUUUUCUGACCCACAGAAGGAGUUGAAGGCGGCUGAGCACAUCCCAUCCCACAAGAGUUAAACCCAGAAAACAUGGUAAGUUAUUCGCCAAGGCCAUUACCAACAACAGGAUUAUGUUCUACAUGUCAACUUGAAAUCUCGAUGAAUCGAGGAGAAAAGCAUCUACCCUUUCGAAAAAAAUAGAAUGGCGAUCUGUGGUAAGAGAGUCUUUAGCACAAGAGCGAAGGAUGACGACUGAUUCAAUUACCCUCUCUACUGAAUUAAUUGAAUAUAGUUGCGUGAAGCAGCAUAAGUGCUAACCUGAUCUAAGGAAAGAGGGGGAACGUGAAAACAAGGCUAUUCCGGGGCCUCAAACGUCUGUAGGCCUAUCAGCCAUGAAGUAUGCAUAAGCAGGAAUGGGCAAAAAUGAUGGUUAUACAUCUAAAGGACCUAUUUUUACCUGCUCAUAACCAGAACUCUUAGGUUAGAGGGACGAGACUAGUUCAUUGACCCAGACCAUGGCCUGAGACUGUUGGGAGGGGACUUGGCACACUGGGAAGGAUUUUCUUAAAAAACAUACUACGGUUUAGCACACUAGGAUUGGGGGUCAAAUCAUUCCAUAAAGAUUGGAGGGAAUAAUGAUUUUCACAAUUUGCCAAAGUUGUAGAUAAGAGAAGCGCUUAGUGCAAGGAAAACAAGCUGGCAAAGAUUGGUAUGUCUAGAAUAGAAUCCAGAGGGCAUGGUUUGCUAAAUUUAGUCGACGUUCUUUCUGCAUAUGGGCUGAAGCAAACUGAGGUUGAUCAUUCAGUAGUUGUUCAUCAUAUCCAAAGUGGAUCUCUAAUCCUUGCUGUCUAUGUUGAUAAUAUUGUAAUUACAGGUAGAGAGAGGACAGGAAUUAUUGACCUGAAAUAGUAUUUUAGUAAACACUUUUGUACCAAGGAUCUUGGAAAGCUUGGUUACUUGUUGGGUAUUGAAGUAGAAAGAUCAAAGGUGGGAAUAUCACUUUAUCAAAGGAAUUAUGUUACAGACUUUUUAGAGCAGACUGGAUUGUUGGGAUCAAUGUGGAUACUCCUAUGGAUCUGACUUUGAAAUUUAGUAAGGAUGAUGGCCUGCUCUUUGAAAAUCCAGAGAGGUAUAGAUGUUUGGUUGGAAAGCUUAUCUAUCUGACUGGAACCUGACCAGAUCUAACCCUUGCUUUUGGAGUGGUUAGUCAAUUCAUGCAGAAUCCAAGACAUGAUCACUGGUAGGCUUUUUGUCCUAUCUUGAGGUAUCUCAAGAAAACUCCAGGAAAAAGAUUGUUCUUUAAAAGAAAAGAUCCAAUUCUUUCACACGAAAGGAGAAAGCUCUUUCUUAUUGUCUUAGCCUUCAGAGUUAAGGUACAUAAUUAGGCUCAUUCUGCUCUCAUUUCUGGUCAAUGUCAUUUUCUUCCUAAAAAAUAGGGCAUUCACAGGCUAUUAUUUAUAUAUGGGUAUAAAUAUCUUAACUUCUAAUUCAAUUGUUCGAGGAGCAGAGGGUUUAGGUUUUGGUGAAAAGGUCUUAGGCAUCUUUUGAUGAGAAGGAAAUAGUCUAUGUCAGGAAUUGGCUUCUCAGCCUAGCUAAAGAAAGUGAGGCAGCACUAUUCGCUUAAAGUAAAGUGUCACUUGCUUGCACAAGCCCUCUUUGCUUGAAGCUCUCUUCCCAUGUUGAUGAGGGACUAUUCCCACUGCGUGCUAACUAGAAAUAUCAUAAGAUAAGAUGUCAUUGAAUCGGCUCUUAGAGAUUGAAAGUGAGCUCCUGACUCGAGAGUGAGAAUCCAUAGUUGUUUUGUUAAAGUUGCAGUAGGUGUAGGAGUUACUGCUUUCAAGAAUUAGCCCAGGCCCAUAAAGGAUAAAGACAAAAAGUCUAGAUUUCACUCUUUCAAGAUCAAAUUUCUAGUUUAGAGUUUCGUACCCAGGCACGGAAUCCACUUGCCAACUGAUCUGAGUUUGAAUUGGGGAACAAAUGAUCUAAGUAAGGAGGUAGCUCCAGGAAGGUAGUUCUUUGACCCAAUUCAGUGAGACCAGGGCUUAGCUCUUUGAACCAGAUGUUUAAGGAAGUUUCAAAAUGCUUAAUCGAAAGAGUAAGGAAGAAGAGCUGCUUUUAUUUAAGCAGAAUCAGAGCUCUUGGGUAAGAAGGCAGGAAGAAGUUCACACUAGGAUUGAAGAAGCUGGUUUGAUAGAACCAGGGUCAGCAAAAGAUGAUGGAAAAGGCUUUUUGUAAGCGUGAUCCUCUAUCCUCUCUCUUUCUAUCAUCAGAGAAUCAAUCUCGUAGCCUAGCUACGUAGCAGGCUCAGAGCCUUUUGGUGGAGGAAGAACAUGUUCUUCAGCUUGGCCCGGGAAAGCGCUGGCAACUAUUGAAAGGAUGGGGUCCAUGUAGCUAAUGUGUCUGCCCCCUUCUUAGUCAAUGGGGCACAGCAGGUUCGGCAUCUACUACAAAAGAGAGAAUCCACUUCAGAUAACCACGUCUCUGCUAGGCAGCGUGUGGAAUGGCUGAGAGCGGACCUUUUUGGAUAUACCCCUUCCUCCUCUGAACCUCGCCCAACACUUUAAGGUUAUGCCAUCCUAAGCCUGAUCUCACACGAAAUGCUUUCUUUGUUAUGUUGAAUGAAGUUCUACGUCUUUUGUUCACUUAAUUAAGUAAAGUUGUGUCUUUGUUUGGUUUGGUUUGUUGUGUUUGCAUGUAUGGUAUGGGCCGAAACAUAGUCUAAAGUGUUCACUACUUAUGUGAAUUGUGAAUAUAAAUAAUAAAGACUUUUUUGUAAAAAUGUGCAUGUGAAAGUUGAAAGAAAGUGUACUGUAGAUGUGCUUAUCAAGCCUUUCUAGCUCUUAAGCUUCUCCUUCUUCCUUCAGUCAACCUUAAUCUUGCUAGUUUAGUUCGUAUGUUUUACGUGAGCGCGUUGAAUUUGAACUAGUGUGCAUGGACCUUAUCCACACAUUUUUUGGGCUAGACGCUAAUAAGAUGAAAACCCAGGACUCAAGCAUUUUCGAUCUCUGUUUUUACGCUGAAGUAUCAUAAAAUCCUGAAUGAAAUCCAGCCUUACCCAACCAGAAGCAAACGAAAGAGGGGAGGCCGGGAACGUACAUUCAUAAUUGAUUCAUAUUCUAUUCUCGGACGGGAAGUCUCAAAGCUCUUUUUCCAGCUUAGCAUCUUGAUGGUCUGUUCAAUCAGUUUAUUAUGUCAAAACAGGAAACAGAAGACUUGCUUUUGUUCUAGUUUCUAAUUCAAGAGUGUUCCUAUCAUUUCUGAACGUUAACGUUUAGGUGAGCCACAUCUCCAAAAUAUCUAGAAUCGGUUGGGAUUGGUUCACUAAAUAUCCGGAGAAAGGCAAAAAUUAUCUAUUUUUUUUCAUGAUAUUCCUUGCUUUACUACCAGGUAGUCGAAAAUAAAUUCAUCCAGAAUUCCACUGUCCUUUUAAGAAUGGCAUGAAGCUUUGGUUUGGCUGUGCCUGCUACCCAGCCGUACUUUAUCCACGAUGUUUUCUCAAGCUAGGUUACAUGGAAAUAGAACUUGACUUGACACAAAAAUUCAAUUCCCAAAUUGAUCGAUAUGUUUAUGGGUAUCUCACUUAGUAGACAUGGAAUCUUUUAUCAUAGACAUGGUCUAGUUUCAUUUCAAAAUCCCUCGGCUAAAGUCUCUUACGAGAAAAUUAGCUGACUUGAUUAGGUGAUGGUUUAUUCUUAGCCAAAUGAAAAGAAGCAAGGAUCCUUUGUUUUGGAGGUUCUUUCUCAAGCCGGAGUGCACUGUGCCUAGUUCUCACUCCAUUUAUUCCGUUCGUUGAGUGAGAAAUGGGAAAUUUAUGGAAAUUUACAAUCCCUACCAUGGAAUAGUGCACCUACAUGCCUUCAUCGAUGUUGUUUUUUAAUCGGAAGGCCGAGAGGUAACUAUCGUGAUUUUGGACUAUCUGGACAUAUACUUCAUGAAAUGGUUCAGGCAUAUUUGUUGCCAGGAGCAACAAGAUCAAGUUGGUAAGGAUUAAUGCUUCAUUUCUAUUUCUAUGGUCGAUGAUCAUAGAAGCCCCUUUACCAUUCUAUAUAAUGGGCUAUUCUAUUUGUACAGAUAGGGUGGAGGGGUGCAUUUUAUCCUUGUUUAUCUAUUAGUUUUCAGUUCUUAUCUUCGGUGUGGGGUAGAGCAGUUUGGUAGCUCUCAAGGCUCAUAACCUUGAGGUCAUAGGUUCAAAUCCUGUCUUUGCAACAUUUUUUUUUCCAAACUAUAGCCGGGUUGACUCUGGUAAUUAGUAAUUAAUUCCUGCCUUUCGCUUUUUGGGGGUGGAAGGCAAAAGAAAAUGUAGGGUCAAAACUCGCACCUGUGUCCAAAGUUUGACUCUUGAGUUAGAAUAAUAAGGCAUUUCGGAAGCUUGAAUCCCUAGAAAGUAGAACUGCAGUUCGUAAGUUUGCUCUUACUUCUUUAUUCAAUUCUUUUCCCACUUCAUUGCCUUCUAUUCUUCUUUUAUUCUUUCUAAUGUAAUAUCGUAAGCAUCCAAUGCAGCUUUUUCUGCGAACUCUUCUGCUGCAGCAGAUUCAUUCUGAUCCUUUAGAUCCGCUCUCUCUUUCUCUGGCUCCCUUACUUAAAAGCUUUUAGUCGAUCUACUAAGUCAAAGAUUUUUUUCAACUCUGAUCCUUUCAGCCCUAGUUUCGCUCUAAGUCAAGGCCUUUAGUCGAUCUAGUUCUUAGUAUCCUUCCUCUUUAGUCUAGCUGACCGCUUUUCCCCUUGACUCGCCUGCUUUGGGAUGUCAAUAUUCGAUAGUUGGAAUCUAUCUUCCACUGGCUAUGACAAAGAGAUAUCUGCUAGAAGAAGUGCGGUCAUAAAGUCUUUCUUUCCCCAAGGGCAGAAGGAGUUUGGAAUGACUAUCUCUCUCAUCCAGUCCACGAAAAUGCCCCUUCCUUGUUGUUGUUGCUAAAGGCCUUGGUGAUGUAUCUUCCUUCUCUUAAGACCCUAGACCAUGAAUUAUUAGAUCCACAUGAAUGAGGAAAGGUAGUUUCAACUAAGGUCUUAAAGUCCAGCCCGGUGAUGAAUCUUCUUCCACUCAGAGGAAAAAUGAAUUGAUUGACUAUUAAGUGCAAGCCUGUAAAUAGACGACAAUGGGCAGUUAAGGUGCGCUUAAAGUCAACUACAACUAUAAGGUAUGCCGAUCUUGCCACCCCUUUGACUGUGAAAAGAUCCAAAUAGGCACACAGUAGUUUAGAAUAGAAGGAGCGGAAAGCCACUUGACUGGUUGGAAAGGAGCUCUGACGUUGGAAUUCAAUAGUGACAGAAAUGGUCAUCUGUGCUCCACAUCUACUGGUUUUAUCACCCUGCAAAGAGGUGGAACCAACCAAGACUGAACACUAGCCCCAUUUUGUAGACGGGUUGGGACCGGCCUUCUAUCGCGAUGAACAAUGUUCCACUGAUUAGGCAGGGAUAGGAUUCAAACCUGCAAUCUUCAGGUCAUAAGCCUGAUGAGUUGACCAAUUCCUCUACCCCGCUUCUUCCCCUUCUCUUUCAAACUCCGAAAACUAAGGUUCGACUUGCAUGUGUUAAGCAUAUAGUCUGAGUAGCAAGAUGUUCACUUCUUAGCGCUUAGGCCACUACCUAAAAGUAAGCUUUUCACUCUUUUUCUCUUACAUAACAACGAUGGAGGAGAUAGUAAGCACGACUUUCUAUGCAAUGAUUUCUUCUUCUCUUAUGUUUUAUCAAGUUAUAGGGGGGAGACCAAGAGAGUAGAUUGGCUGGUUUUUCCAGUCAAGUAUAGUUAAUAAUCCCAUUUUUGAAUAUGAAUUUGAGUAGAUUCCCUUUAUUAUUCUUAUGACUUUGUUCCGUCUAUGAUAUGGUUAGUACCAUGACAUUCCCUAAGAACGAUUGGUCCCCUUCAAGACAGACAAUACUCUGGACUUUAGAACAAUGGGAUGCAAAACUACCCAAAGUAUAGAAUACUAUCUGCCCAACCCAAUUAUUAUUUAUAAUAAUUAAGAAUUUUAUUAGGUUAGAAACCUCCUUUCGGAGGUCUCUUGAGAAAGAAGGCAAAUAUUGCUGUUAGACCUAUAAAAAGAAUAACUUUUUAUCUAACAUAAGAAAAAGAAUAGACAAACUAAAUACAGAUUGUAGAUUCUUAUCCCUCAUAGUCAUAUAUUGUCCCUCUUCGUAAGAAGCAAUCCCCGGUAAUUGGAACAAAUAAAGGGAAAUUAUCAAUGGUAAUGCCACCAUAGAUAACAACCUAAUGGUCCCUUCUAAAGGACCACGCCGGAGGAGAUCGAUAUAGGAUCUGGAGGUUUUCGUCUCUGCUCCAAUUAGGGCUAAUUGGGGAAGAACUCAGUCGAUUGAUCCUCGCUCACCCUAUUGGAUCGAAUGAAUUGGUCUCGGUAGGGGGCGCCUGGGUUCCAACUAGGAAUCCUGUCUAUGAAGAGUGGUCUGGCUACGAAUCUCUCCAAUGAAGGAUCAGAGAUUGUGGUAAAAUGUUAGUGUAUAAUGACAAGGAUAAGAUGGUAAAUGUCGUUCUUACACCAUCCUAUCAAUAUCCUUUUACACAUCACCCUUACCAAUGCUCCAUUUAGCAUCAAUAGGAAGGAAGCAGUCCAAACACCCUACAACAAAUCAAAUAGGGAAGUUACCAAUGGUAUUAUUCUUUUCGACCAGAAAUAAUAACCCAUUAACAUUUGGAUGUUACAAGUAGAUCCAUUAUCUACUAAGCGUUGUGCACUCCAUCUUCCUACAGAAAAGGGGGGAAUCCCCUUUAUCUUGAUGGAGGUAGCUCCACCAUGAUGCAUUCUCUUUAUUAUUAUAAAUAUAGCUUUUUUAUCUUCCACCUUAUCUCCACAGCUUUGAACGACCCCUUUCCCUUCCUCUUUUUUUCAUUUCAAGCAUGGACCUUAACUUACCGAACUGGCUUAGUAAAGUCAAAAUUAUUAGCUGUCAACUGUUAAUAGUCAGUAGUGGAAGAGGGCGUAGCUUUGAUUGCUCAAGUUUCCCUCUCAUGGUUGAAUGUGAAAAAGAAUUUCUUUUGUUUAGCAACAGUAUUAUAAGGAUGAUGCUUCCCCUGUGCCUUAUCAAUAAUUAAUAAGGAAGACCGGGCUAAAGGUAACUACGUUUUAAUCACCUAGUGAAAGGCAUAGUAGGUAAAAAGGCUAUUGGUUGCUUUACUUUCUUACCUCGGGUAGGUUGAAAAAGCUGCUGAUGAAGAAUAGUUUUUUUUCUCUUACGACCUUUUGUGCCAAGGAGGGUUGAAGGGAUCGAUGCCAAUAGCCUUUCACGAGGUGCGUAUUAUUCUUUAUAGCCGUCACGACAGCUCCCGAAGAGAAAGAGGUCUUUGUUGCUUGACUGCGUGAACCAGGUCAAGGUCUUGCUUUUGGCAUUCCCGCUGUUAACAUCCCAUCGAGUUAGCUAGUGUUGGGUGAAAGGGAUUUAGGAAUGAAUAGAAGGCAAAGUCCUUGCUAGGAAUUCUGGGUAACUUUCUGUAUUCCUUAAGGUUACAGGUGAAUCUUACUUCCUACGGUAUCCCUUUGGACCUUAUCCUCUUAAGGGUUGGAUUCUAGUGGCGGGCCCUUGGGUCGUUCAGACCCAUAUCUGGUAAAAGUGGUGGCCUAGUUAUCCCUACACCCCCUUAUCAUGUGUGUCUGUGGGAGCAGUUUGUGCUAGCGUUUUGGCGCUCGCCUUAUGGUUCUCAGUCCUCUUUUGUCGAGAUGCCUUUUAAAAUGAUUUUUACCCGCAUCAAAACAAGACCCACUAUACUAAAUUUAGCCAAUUCGGGUAUGGAUGGGGAUUCCCCAAAAGAUUCUACAAAUUCGGAUUUGGAUGCCCCUGCGCAUAAACAUAUAGAUAGGGAUGCCGAUUCAGAUGCAGCUAGAAAGGCUCAUUUGAGUGAUUCAUAAACCCUCUUAUUAUAUACGGAUAUGGAUAUUCCUUCUCAUUCUAAUCUUGAUAUAGUUCCAACAGGCCUAUUCUUUGACUCUCCUAUAGUGUAUAGUAUAUUCUUUUCAUCUUCCUACUAGGAUGGAUAUUCUAACAAUAAACUACCUAGCUUAGCUAGUUGGCAGCUCCGCAUCAUGAACUGCAUCGAAAAGGGCAUUCGAUCUCUCUAGUGGCGGGCUCUUGGGUCCUUCAGACGCAUAUCUAGUAAAAGUGGUGGCCUAGUUGUCCCUACACCCCCUUAUCAUGCGUGUCUGUGGGUGCAGUUUGUGCUAGCAUUUUGGCGCUCGCCUUAUGGUUCUCAGUCCUCUUUCGUUGAGAUGCCUUUUAAAAUGAUUUUUUCCCGCAUCAAAACAAGACCCACUAUACUAAAUUUAGCCAAUUCGGGUAUGGAUGGGGAUUCCCCAAUAGAUUCUACAAAUUCGGAUUUGGAUGCCCCUGCGCAUAAACAUAUAGAUAGGGAUGCUAAUUCAGAUGCGGCUAGAAAGGCUCGUUUGAGUGAUUCAUAAACCCUCGUCGGGAUAAACAAGCAAGGGUUUCAUCUCUACUUAUGGGAAUACUACUUCAAGAAAUGCUGCUUUAGGAUAAACAUCAUAUGUUGCGAGAGAAACUGGAUAUUUUCCUAUGGCUUGGACCAUUUCACUCGAGAACUCAUAAGGGAAAGAAUUCUUCAACAUAGUCACAAGAAGGUGGUCUACGACCAUUAGAUCCCUAGAAAGAGGAGCAACUAAGAAGAGAGGGGUAUAAAAGAAUGAAAGGAAUAUCUUCGAUCUGGCUCUUGUUCCCUGUAGGUUUAUGGCACGCUAGGCUAACUAAGAAAGGUAUUCUAUCUUUCUCUUUUUGUUGUUUGGCUUGAUAGAAUUGUUUAGAAUCCUCGCCUAGCUUCCUCUUUCCAUAGAUAUGAAGACUAUAAAACGUUGAUCAGAGAGAAGGGUUGUUCUAAGAUAUAGAAGUAGUUAAGGGCUUGACUAAGUAGUAGAUAUGGGAUUGAGGGGCGCAGGAGUAGGGUUGUACUCUAGAGGUAAUUCUAUACUCCAAUCUUCCUCCUGGCUUCCUUUCUAUUCUCACUCUCAUCCAACUAAUGAAUGCAAUUGGAGUAGAAUUGCUUUCCCUUACUAGGUUUAGGAAUCCGUAAUUCUUCAAGAAGACGAGAUUAACCCGGAUCAAAAGAAAGCUUCUUAUCGAGAGAUAGAUUACAGCAAAAAUGACUCAUGAGGAUAGCUGGAAGCAAGGAACAUUCUUUUGUGGCUUACCCUUUCUAUAAUAGAACGGUUAAACUGGUUAGGCGGUCUGGCGCAUUAUUCACUGUGCUUUAUUCAAAUCAGUGUGCAUCAUCCGGGGUGAUAAAAAAGAACCAUACCCUUUUGACAGUGUCCCUGUCCCUUAAUCAUCAGGCUACCCUCAGAUUCUUCCCUCCAGAUAUGUUUGAGGUGGGCGGGAAGGAUAGAGCCCAACUUAUUAUAUACGGAUAUGGAUAUUCCUUCUCAUUCUAAUCUUGAUAUAGUUCCAACAGGCCUAUUCUUUGACUCUCCUAUAGUGUAUAGUAUAUUCUUUCUAUCUUCCUACUAGGAUGGAUAUUCUAACAAUAAACUACCUAGCUUAGCUAGUUGGCAGCUCCGCAUCAUGAACUGCAUCGAAAAGGGCAUUCGAUCUCUCUUUUAUGGGCUCUUUUCCUCGUAUCUGACCUAUCCGAGUUAGCCCUCACAAGCGGACAAAGAGGUGGAUCAUCUGAUCUUGAAAUAGGUUAUCCUGGCUAUCCCAACCUUUUAUCUGUUCAUUUUGUCAGGUAUCUGAAUCAUACGAUUCUGAGGUUUCUGCUUUUCACAUUUAUUCUACAGGACUAAAACGAUUCCUUUCCUCACUAGUUGGAAUAAAAACCUCAACAGUAGCCUUAUCCCUUCUUCCUAUCCUUUCUACCUAUGAAACGAGUCCCUCUUUUAUUCACUAAAGAAGACGUAGCUGAUAGAUCGAUGAAUAUAUAUUUGAUGGACAGUUCUAUGAAUCAAAAUCUCAAGUUAGAAGCAUCGCUGAAAGCCAAUUGAUUCGAUUUUCUCGAAAUCAAAGAGUGGACUUGAAAUCAUAGAUCCAUUUUGUGAGCCAUGUGACUCAGACAAAAAUCCUAUAUCUUACCCACCCAGUGCUGUUCUGAUUGAAUUUCAAAGAUUUCGUUCGCUGUCAAAGCGCAUUUUGUGAAGUGUUCUCCUACCCCUGUCACCUGAGAUAAAGUCAACUGGAAACCGUGAUCGGAGUCGUGGUUUGAAGAUGAUGAUUUUAAGAUUUAUUCGAUAGAAAAGGGUGUCUUGGUUGCCGAUACCGAGGUUGGAUGGAUCAUUCCACCUAGAAAUAGCAAAAGUUGAGUUUGGCAUAGGUCAAAAGGGAAAGCAAGGAGGAAUUCCACUUUGGAAAUGAAAAGGGCAGUUCCAAAUGAAGGACCCUGGGGCAAGCUUCCCUGUGUCCAAGUGUCAAGUCCCGAGGGCUUGUGUCCGCCAAAACCUUCCUUUUUUCUUUUUAGUCUUUCCUUGUAAUGAACUGAAAGGUGAGAGGUAGGGCUCAGUCUCAAGAUUGAAUUUGUUGUCACUAGUCAGUCCAACUGCAUGAAUGAAAGGCGAAAGUCAAGAUUACGUGCAACCAGGCAUAACGUGUCAAAGGUCACCGAGUCGUUGUAAAGGGGAAUAGGUUGUUUUGUGCAUCCAAUAACUAAAAGAGUUUGCGGAGAAGGGUUGAGUUGCGUAAUAGAAGAUUCGUAGGUCAAGAAAUUGUUGGAUUUGAAAUUGAACUCUCUACCUUGGGCGGAUAGAAAUUGAGACUUUCAAUGGUCCACUCUUCUCUCCUCAUGAUCGAAGUGACCCCAGAAGUUGGUUAUUUCUUUUUAAGAGGACACUAACCCUCCCAAACUUGCUAGCCGGGGGCUUAGUCUUUCAAGAUUCAAUCUUUCCCCUUCCGGUCCCAGGGAAUCGCUCUUAUAGUAGGAGGUUUACUAUGUCCCCAACUUCUCUUUAUUAAGAAAGUAGGUUUUCUACUAUAAUUAGAUUUUGCUCAUAAAAACAGAAGCUUGUAAUAUAGCUAGACCAAAUUCAAUAAAUGGAGUCCGGUAAUAACAUUAUGAAACUGAACCCAUAUGGCAGAAAGUAGAAGCAGCGGGUACAUCUGUUCAGGUUCAUUCAUGUCCAAUAAACUUCAAACAAAAGGAGAUUCGGGUAUCAGAGUUGAGUGGACAGGCGACGGAAGGAUGGGGGGAAGAGUAAAGACAAGACGAAAGCAAGAGUUCUGGUAUCUUUCUUUACUAGUUUCAUUUCCGUAUGAUAGUCGCCCCUUUCUCACUGCUUCCUUUUUCGGUAAAGCAGAGUGAGCAGCUCCUUUCUUUACUACUGCUGCCAUACAAUAAAGAAGUCCAAUAGCUGCGCUUACUUCUUUCUUCAACCCUAAAAAGAGCAUAUGCAUCUCGGGAUUGUCUCCAUCUCAGAAGUGGAUUCCCCUACAAGGGUACUUAAGUACGACUAUGGCUAUGAAAAGCUUAUCGAAAGAGAAGGAAAAAGCAUAAACUCAACUCUAAAAGUUUCAGUUGCCUCCCUCUCUCUGCCCUAUAACUGAAAAAAGGAGCACGGCGAAAAGCCAACCUUUUUUUUUUUAUUCGUUUGACGAGGGAUUAAGUACUGAAUUAAUGAAAUUUUACCUAUAUCGUGAAAAAGAGCUGCUCUAGCUUUAGCGUUCACCCUUUCUCCUAUGAGGAAAGUUACUCUUUCAGAUUCAUGUCUGGCCCUUCUUGGGUCUGGAUUAUAGUAUACUAGCGACUUUGUCCUUGAAUUCAUUCUAUUUCAUAUCCACCGAUCCGUGGAAGAGACCAAGGAAGAGUAAGAUAGAUUUAGGGCCGGCAGGUGGGUCUAGAAUAGAUUCCCCAACGGGUCCUGACUUUUCAACAACAGAGGGAAAAACUUACUCUUUUAAGUCAAAGUCAAAGUUGGGUAGACUAAGAUGGAGUUUAUUUUACAGUUGUUCCAGGGAUAUGGGUAUAGAGUGAAUUCUAUUCACUCUUUAUGAAGUGGAGUGCACUCCAACUAUCAUAAAUAGAAAAGUCAGUAUGGUGCCCCGGUAGACGCGCAGACCGAGUGAGUUUUUGCCGAUCCAGAUAUGCCAAAGAUUGAGAACUAUGAGGGUACGGUGCUAUCCUUGUACUUUGUUUGUUGCACAUGGCCUAAUGUACACUUGCCCCCUUUUCUCACUCUUUUGGUGUCAAUUUAAAUUUGUUUUCUUUAUGUUACCAAAAGAUGGAAAGGGGAAUUGACUCGUUCCUUCCUUGCGGAGGACGAAUCAAGGCCUGAAGUUGGUUCGUCGAACAAGAGGAGAGAAGGAUCAACAAAGAUUUCAUACCCUAUGCUAGUUCUUUUUCUCUCUUCCCCAGAUAUUCCUUUAAAAAGUCCUCCACCUAUUCUUGGGUGAUGACAUCUAUGAUUGUGAAAUAUUGGAAUGAACAGUUGCAACAAUCAUGUUCAAUUUCUUUUAACAAUUUUAGAUUGUGGUUCUUUGUAAUCAAAGGCGAGAAGGAAGUUCAUGGAAAGGUAGCUCACAUACCUUUCCAGGCCUAAUUCUUUAAUAAUCACUUCAGCUCUUUCAUACUUCUGACGUCGACUCAUCUUGCUUGGAAUUCUUAAGAAUGCAGCAAAAAUGAAGGCUUCCUCCACACUCAAUUGUGGAAAAAGCACAUCAUUUUGUGUCACGAAACCCACCUAGCACAACAUUGCUCAAUUCGCUAUGGAAGUUAAUACAAAAUCAUAUACAUUGAAAGAACGACUUUUUUAGAUUCUUGGUUUUAAGGCAAUAAAAAGAGAGAAGGAAAAUGAAUUAUUGAUGGAUAGGUAAUAUACCUCCUAUUGAUAGCUGUAUUAUAUGGGAUGACAUUGUAUGUGACAGUUCCUCUGACAUUUUCUUGCAAUCUUCCUCCCAAUAUCUUUAACAGGGUUGUUUUCCCACUGCCAGAAGGCCCCAUUAAGGCAAGAAUUUCACCCUUCCUUCUUCGAACCUUGAGUAUCUGCUUGUAAUUGUCAUGCUCAAACUGGGAAGCUACCUUUGAUACAACUGCCUUGACAGGAUUAUUGGAGGAAGCUUGGCUAAUCUUCACCUUGUACUCAACAUUCGCGAACUGCAUUCAAAGACCAUUUAAAUGGCAGAAUCCAAAACUCUGAAACAUAUAUCAACAAUUUGAUUCUUUGACACAUUUCUGAGAAAUGAAAGAUUGGUUAGAGAAAAAAUUACCUUGAGAAAUAUGGGGAGGGGUUGAUCUUUAUCAGCAAUUAAUGUAUCAUCCUCUACCUCUAUAUUAAUUUUAGAGCUUCUAUUUCUGAGGUAAGCUUGAGACAUGAACUCUAUGUUAUGGACAAAGCCAUUGCUUCCAGCAAUCUGCAUGGAGCCAACAACUGGAGGGGACAAUGACAAAUCCUCAAUUUCAUCUAGUCUAACAUGCUCCAUUAUGUCGUGAACUGCAAGUUAAGCGUUGCUCCUGGGUGUUGGACAAAGUGAAUUUUUAUAUAUGGUGGAUAAGAUAGACAUAACCAAAACUCUGCCUAAAUAUUGAAACUGUUGAGCCACAUGCUUUCUAUGGGAAACUCGAGACUCUUUAGAAUUGUGAAUUUCUAGUUACCACACGCACUUGGUGCGCUUGACUUUCUUUAAAAUUCUCUUUUAACCAAGUGUUCAAAUGACACUGUUUGGGGUAUUCUAACUCAGCAACGAUGUACUAGCUGUUAAUACAUAAUUAACUAAAUCAAAGUGUUCCCUCUCUGAUAUCUAACAUUUUUUAGAUGAGACGGUUCAUACAAUUCACCAUAGUAGAGCAGGCAGAAGUGAAGGAUCGAGUCGUCUGUUCAUAGUUUCACUUCACUUUUGCCAUUCUAUUCCCCUCGGACUAUUAAGGGAAAGCAAGGACACCGGUGAUCUCUACAUUUACCUAUGUAAUUUCAAAAUCUGCUUUCAAGCAGCUCUGUUUUCUAAGGGAGAGUGGACUAAAAAAGGAGAAGCGUCAUGCAUCAUGCUUUUGCAUACCAUCUAGUAUACAUUAAAGAAAAUGGCUUCCUUAAUUAAACUAGCUUCCUCAUCUUCUCUUCCCCCCAAAAACAUCACUCCAGAGGAAUCGCAUAUUCUUAAGCGAGAAGAUCAGACUCUUAUUAUUGAAUUUCCAUUGUUUGCAUGUAAUAGUUCAUUAUCUAGAGUUUUUUUAUGCUCAAUCAUUCCGCUUUCCCUUUCCAUUGGACCAGGUCAAGGCUGCUGUAAGCAGUUCUAAUCUCAAGCAGCUAUCAUGGUUUUCGAGUAGCUUUGAUCUACCGGAGCAGUUACAAUUGCUUCAGCUGGAUCUGCGAUAAUUGCUUUAGUGGGCGACAAGCAUAACUGUUCUGAAGUUCUAGUUAGAAAGAGGGGUUAGUAAUCUAAUCCCUCUUAGUGGUCUCAUAGUAGAGUGAUUAAUCCUCGGGCAGUCAUCUAUGAGUUGAAGCAGGAACAAAGAAUCAAUAUAAGGUGAAAGAACCUUCUUUCAUUUGAAUUUCUUAUUUCCCUAGUCAGCCUCUAACUUUACUCUUGAAUCUAUGGGCUUGGAAACCUACUUUCUGAAGUGGGCCCUACCACGUAUAUAGUUUGCGGAACUAUGCCUAGCUGCGGUGUCAAGUUUAUAUCCUCUGUCUCUUUCUUGAAAAGAAACUAUGCCUGAUAAGGUGAAUAAAGACUCAUCUUCUUUCAUAUCAUAUGUGUCAGAAGCAUCAAAUGAUGUUUUAUGAGGUGGGGGAAUCCUAAUCCAAUGCCCUAAGCUCGCGAUGACAGAAUGCUGUUAUGUCCCUGGAGAGUGCUCCCCCAGGAGUUAUGUGCUCGGAGUUCUGUCCCUGGCCCUUUCACCUUCCACGGAACCAGAAGCAUGAAAGAUGUGAUGACGUAUUUUAGAAGAAAGUCUUUCUCUUUAUUGAUGUUGAACUUCAUCUGCCUUAUAGCAAUGAAAAGAUAUUCCCUUAGUCUUUGCCCAGCUCUUCUUCCAGGGAAACAGUCUUUGAUAGUGCUCUUGCUCGAAUUUUUGUGAUUUGUGGCCUUAAGAGAAUCAAGAGAUAUUUAAUAGUUUGGGUCGAGCAUCUAAUCUUAUUAAGAGUUUUCCUUUCAAACCUUAUUCUUCGAAUGGACAAAUACCAGGAAGUAAAGCACUCUCCUCUAGGAGGGAAGUUAAGGGGUUAGAGUGUGCCUGAUUCAUAUGUAGUUUCCUCUCUGAAAGAUACCCAAUCAAGAAGGAUGUGCCACCAUGCUCGAUGGGCAAGAAGCUAGGGCAGUUAAGGAGGGUUAUAUUGGGUGAUCAUAUCCGAACAUGAAAGACUUUCCGCGAAAUCAGAAUCAGAUUGGAUUAAAGGUAAGGACGGCGAAGCUGGAAUGUUUUCUAUGGUUUUGAUUCUUCCUAAGUGGUUAGUUCACUCCUCUUAUCUCCGAUUGGGGAAGUCUCCAAUUCCCUUACUUCGAUUUCCAAUGACUCAGUAUAAUGCUCAUUUGACUAUCGUGUAGGUAAAGUGUUUACUGGUCCACCGGGUGAGACCUCUUGUACUCCUUCUUUCGCUGAUUAAGAGGCAGAUGAGAAUCCUCUCAAAUCCUCAAAUGAGAAAUUCCCUUAAGGAAAGAAUGAAUCUAGGGAAGAAGUCGCAAGGAUAGUUUCAUUUCUCCAUUAGCUGGGGAUAUGACUUCCAGCUGAGAAACCUGCUCUUGCUUCAUUUGCUGAAUCUGGAGAUUUAUACUUGUUAGAAACUGUAUUCUUACUCUUCUUUGUAUUUCCAGGGGUCUUUCGCAAACUAAGGCAAAGAAAAAGUCUUAUUCUCCCUUUCAGUCAGCCGGAAGUAAUAAGAUUACUGCUCUAGCCCUAGCUGCUUUACGCGGAUACGAUCUUUCCUUACUGAACAGCUUCCCCAGAUCAUGUUACAAUUAGAGUUGUGGAGAUAGAGAAAGCUCAUUCUUCUUUAAUAGUAAAGGCCUUUUCACGAGCUGGGCUCGAACCUGCGCUUCCCUAUGACAAAGUUCAUUCCAAAAAUCUAGUUGGAGAUCAGUCUAUCGACUAGUGCUUGAACUAAGAUUGUUUCAAAAGAGAAAGGGAAUGAGUCUGAAAAGAUAGUUCGAGAAGGGUUGUGAGCUCAAACGAAUAGAGUUCAAGGCAAAAGUAUUUCAAAAUAGAAAGAGAAAGGCUGGAAUGAAGUAGCUCGCCUAAAAGAAAAGGAAUGAAGCACUCGACUAUGAUUGUUGGAAAAGAGAGGCAGGGCCCGAGGCACUUGCUGAGGAGCAGGCGGGACAAGACUAACUUGAAAAGAUGCUCUACUUGAAAGGCAAUGGUUUUGAGGGUACUAACUAUGAUAUAUGGGUAAGGAAAAGAAAAUAGUAGCUCAGGCUCUCGAGGCAUACUAGCAGGGCAUGACUAGAAUCGUAGAAAGAAGCUGGGGAGAAAGAUCCUAGUGCAAGCAUUGAGUCAAACUAAUUCAGGUAUAGCAAGAUAGUUCUUGUCUUCUUCUUCUACCUACAUUCCUUUAUAGCACUUCUAGCCUUGAAAAGAUAAUCUUUCUUAGUUGUCCACUACCUCACUCUUUAUUUUUCCUAUCUCAAGAGAGUUCUAUUCCCCUCAGACUAUUAAGGGAAAGCAAGGACACCUGUGAACUCGGAUAACCUUGUGGCAUACCAUCGAAUCUACUCUACCCUACGCUACCCUCUUUGUUUCUUGUGAUUCAACCACGGCGGAUAUUUAGUCAACUGCGGUUACGCUUACACCAAGAACUCCUAUUCUAUUUCAUCAAGAUCUGAUUCAAUUGCAGCACUUACUGUAACAAGAAGAGCAUGAACUCAUUCUCAAGGACAUUUGCAGCAGCUGGCUAUUUUUCUUAGGAAAUUUAGUAAGGCUAGGUUCAAUAGAGGCAAUCCAUUUAUUCAUAGUAGCUUUCCAACGGGAAAACUCUUUCAAUCAGGCAAGUAAGACAAGCACGGCAAAUCGCCAAUCGAUUUGCCAAUCCAACUCAGACAAAACACCACGCCCACAGGCUCGGCCGAACCGAGCCACCCAGGCCACAAGCGACAAAGAGGCGAUUCUCAUACUGAAGAAGCAGUGGCUACCAUUUUUGAAGUCCAGCAUCAGGAACAGCCUCAAGCUGGUGGUCCAUCCCAAGAAGCUGCUGCUGAGCUCGUAGAGACUGAAGCCAAGCCUGGAAGGGCAAACUAAGAAACUCAGACUGUGGGGCAGCAACCUGUGAUCCAUUUAGUUAACCAUAUGUUCUUUCUACUAGCAAAAAUGGUGCCUUUAAAGCAAACUAAGAGCAGGGAAGGAACUAUGGCCGGCAUAAGCUCACCAAUUAUGAUGCAUGACUAACGUAUCUUUUUUUUUUCAAAUAAUCUAGGCAUUUUCCUUUGGGCUGGGAGGGCUUCCACUAGGGAAAGGCACCUGCUCUCCAAUUUCUAUUCUUUGUUAUCUGUAUUAAACUAAUCUAUUCCAAAUGCGGGAGUCAUUCUUUCAAUUCAGUAGAGUGAGAAUCGCCUUUUUAGGAGUAUACCGGGGCCAUUCUUCUAAGAAAUAAUAAAAGUAGGGCAAUAUUUGACUCUUCACACUUAACCAAUCUCAGCUUUCAUUAAAAAUCUCAUCAAUAAAAUGAUCAAAAAUCAUUCGCUUUUCCCUUCCUCUCCUCUCUUUAAACUGAGAAAGAAGAAAGAAGGACCGAGUCUUGCAGAUCUGCUGCUUCAGAUUCAUUGAGUUGGGUGUUGCUUCCUUCUGUUUGCCAAUGAGUCUCUUGAAUAUUUUGAGAGAGCCGUAGAGCCACAUUUUGAUGGUUAUUUAUAUCCAUAUAGAAAUGUGCAAUUGGUAACAGGUAGGUUGAGUUAGACCAUUCAGGGAGGUGGUAAGAGACGGUUGUUCCCUAUUCGCAAUUAUGUAAAAUAGUGACUUCUAUUUCCUAUAUAUAAGUGGGCAAUGGAAGUUCUAUCUCGUAUUUCAAUAGAUGGGACUUUCGACCAAGAGUGUCCCUUGCUGAAAUUGAGAAGAGGAAAGAAGAAUGAAUGUUAUUCCUUUGACUUGAAAUCGGCAACGAACCGUUGGCCAUUGAGUGUUAUGUAGUCCCUUAUGUCUUGUAUGUUUGGGUCUACAUUUGCAUCUUCAAUAGUCAAUAGCUCUUUGGGUCUCAACACCUUUAUGGUUGGGAAACCAAUCACUAAAAGAAUGUAUGAGAUUGCAUUUCUUUGUGGUCAGCCAUUAGGUUACUAUGGAUCAUGGUCUCUCUUUUUAUUGUCCCAUCACUAUAUAGUGUAGUUAGCAGCCAAGAAAGCAUACCCGUAUCUUAAUCAUCCAUUUAAGGACUACACUUUGUUAGGUGAUGAUAUCCUAAUCACUACUAAACAAGUGGCCCUACAGUACCAAAAAUUACUGGAUUGGCUCGGCGUUACUAUUUCUAAUGCUAAGUCUAUCAUAUCAGACACUAGUGCUGUUGAGUUUGCCAAGAAGUUUUGGGUUAAAUUAAUGCAAAUUGAUUUAUCUCCAAUAUCUUUAAGGUUAUUAUUGUCCUAUAGGACAACUCUUGGACUCUGCACUGUGUCGAAUAAGUAUCCGAUAGGAAUAUCGGUUUUACAAAGAUUAGGUGGUGCUGGUUUUAGAGUUCAUUCAUGUCUUUAUUCUACCCAAUCUAAAAAAUGGGAAAGAUUGAAGGCAGCUGCACAAAAUCUAAACCGGUCACAUCCACUACCUCUAAAAUAUUGGAUUGGAAGAGGGAAGCCUCUCAAUCCUUAUCUGAAGGGGAAGAUGGUGGAUUUUCUCUGAAAGGAAUUAAAACCUAUGGAGAUACGUCUCUUCCAUAAAGAGAUGGUGUUCGAUAAAGAAAGGGAUAUCUUAGAGCACACUGUAAUCCACAAUUGGGUUAAAAUGUGGCUCAAAUGGUGUUCCUAGUAUUAUAUAGUUGCGUUGUCUGGGGAUGUAUCCUUAGAUCAACUUAUGGAUGUUCCUAUAUGUAGCACAACUUGGAGAAGGUCAACUAAAGAUCUGGAUAUGAUCAAGUUCGGCCUAAUCUGGAAGUGUUAUGAUAUGGGAGAUGGUUGGGAUUUGAAAACUACACCAAGGUAUUUGUUAGAUCCUGAUACAGUAAUCCAAUUUAAUCAAUGGAUAUAUGGCGGUUAUAAAGGGUGCUGCUUCUUUAUCCUAGUUUUGUGUGUCUUUUUCAGUGAUCUAAAUGUAUUUCAGAUUCUGCUUUCAUCUUCAGAUAAAGGAGACAUCAUUAGCUCACUUGUCUUGGUUUAGUCUUUUGACCCUAAAAGCAUAGAACAUACUCAUUUGAUGUAGGGAUCAGGGAAUGAGCUUCACAACAAAGAUUAGCGGUGAAUGGUUUGAAAGUAGAUGCUAGUGGAUCAAAUUAUGUAUUAAGCCAACCCAUUCUUUCUAUCUAUUCUUUUUAUCAGUAAAGAGGUGCCUCGGGCUCUUUUCCAAGGGGCAGAGGGUAUUGAGAAGUAGGUAGCGAAGGAAGGAAAGAUCCCUUCAAAAGCCGUAAGCAAGAUGCAUAUCUUUCUUCUCUUUUCAAAGAUGGGGCUGAUGGGCCCCUGCUGAUAUUUAUUCCUCGUAUCAUGAUGGAGUGAAUAGGGAUUACAGAACAGCAACUGAAUAUCGACUUUUUUUAAGUGAGUUGACCUGAGGACCUCUUUUUUACUAUGUAUAAAAAAUGGAAAAUCAUAAUAAAGUGGGUUUGGCUGCUAAUAAAUAAGGAGGUCAUCCGCUCACCAAUUAGGUUGUGUUGAACAUGAAUUCUAUGUUCCACUUGGGAUGCGAGACUCUCUCUUCUAUAUUCGUAUCUUCCUUCCUAUUGUAUCUUCUUAGUAGAUCGCUCAGCCUGAUUCUACUUAAAGAGAGGAGGGGCAUAAGUUCUACAAAACGUGUAUGUUAAGCAUGACGAUUGGUUCCUUGCUUCAAGACUAGAUUGAAGGCAUUCUGCCAAUAACAUUUGAAUAAGACGAAGGCAAUAGGUGUCACUGAACUAGGUACUUUCCGACCAACUACCAAAACUCCAACCAGCUUUUUUGAAGAUGUCUGCUGCGGAUAUUUCCUAUGGUUUAUGGGAGAGAGAAGAGAACAUCACAUCAAGUCAAUAUCUAUAGAAAAAGGUGCUUCUAACUAAUUUUGUCUGAGCCUUGAAUGAACUACAUUCUCUUCGAUCCCUUUCCGGAACCAUCCCUAGACCUCUUCUUUUGAAUGUUUUCCAGGGCUAUUUUUCAGUCGGAGGUGCUGCUACAACUAAUUGGUUCUUCAAUUGAUUGGUGAACAAAGGAAUUUAGUAUGGAACAAUAAAGUUUAAUGGAUGCAUAGGCAAUCUCGGCACUGAACUUAUUGCAGAAAGAGACAGGCAAGACGACGGAUUUUAUUGGUGAGUCUUCUGCUAGGGGAACAAUGAUUCUUUCCCCUAAAGGGUAAUAGAAUGGGGUGGGGUCUCCUUUACUCGCUUUCCCACACAGCUGCCUAAGAGCUUAUUCGACAACAGUAAGACGACUGACUGAUAUGAGAUUGAGCGAGGAAAUGCCAAACUCUCUCUCCUGCGCUAGUUAAUCAUAUGCCAUCCUUAGAGUGCAGCAGGGACACCUUUAAAGGAGAGUGAGCCAUCCCUUUAAGAAGGGAAAAGUCUCUUUGAAAGGUCACUCUCAUUAAAACAUUAAAAGAAAAACUUCCUCUCUGUCGAGGAUUUUCCUCACUAAGCUUUCAGGACAAGGACUAUAAACGAUUCUAACAGAGACAGCCCCGUCUUCUCUUAGCUAUAUGCUAAAUACUAGUCUUUACCUUUCAUCUCUAUGUUCCAGUCGAUAAAAUCCUCCAAGUGACUGACUAAUCGUGAGAUCGCAGGGCUCAUAGGAUGGGAAAAUCCCUUCUCUUCAUUUCAUUAUUUCAUUGACGGGUUUUCACGACGUAAGUUAGUGGAAGCAAAGGGGCAAUCGACUGCCUAAAGAACUCCAUUGGUGGUUGAAGGCUAAGUUUAUUCUUCGAUAUAUCUCACUCCGCUAUGCCAGUUCACUCUAGAAGACGUAGUCUGAUUAUAGUUAGUAGUAUAGAUUAGUUAGAUUCGUAGAACAGAAGAAGAGCUUUUACUUUUUCAUUAUAUUAUAUUAGUAAAGUGUUAGCACCUCCAUAGAGUAAGGCUCUCUUCUGGUUCUGGAUAGCUACAAAUCCUUCAAUGUUGGUAUGGAGACUGCUUCCCGUUCGCUAAACAACCCCCUAUUACAACACUUAACUAUCCUUCAAGGGGCGAACUCCACCUAUUUUUGAGCGGUGAUCCGAAAAUGAAAAUCAAUCCCUUUAUACAAUCUGUCUUGGUGUUAUGAUGUAGACGUGAGAGUCUUUCCAGAUGUGACUAGAGAAUAGCCCAACAUAACUCGAUUAUCAUGUUAGCGGGACUAGUGACUCCGCACUUUCUUUGUCCGAAUUCAUUUGAUUCCAAGUGCUCCCUAUUUCAAUCGAAGAAGGAUUAAACUAAAAUGAGAGUCAUUUUGAUGAUAAAGAGCUUUUUUGCUUUUCUUAUGAACAUUGCUUUUGGAAGCUCUCACUUAUUAUAACUUAUAAUAAGCUCUAACAUGAGACUUAUGAACUCAUUGGUUUUCUGCGGAUUUCAUUAUCAAGAAUUGUAUCCACGCUUUCGUGCAUAAUUUCUCUUGACACAUUACUAAUUCCCCCAGUGUAGAUCUACUUGUUGUUAAUAGAUCGGUAAGAGUCUUGUUCCGAGAGAUAACUCUUCUAUAGAGUUCAUUAAUAUCCGAGCUCAUUAGCUUACAUCUAUCUGAAGGAUGGGUCGUAGUUUGGUAGGAAGAACUGGUAGUAGACAUAAAAUAAAGGGCACUCCAGCUUUUUGUCAUGUUCCUUCAUAGAGAGUAAAAUCGUUCCAGUUGGAUCCACCUUUGGGCUUACGUGCCUCGGUUCAAAGAACUACCUGAUGCCACUUCCUUCGCUCUUGAUGGAUGGUAGUUGGAUUGCCGAUUGCCUAGUUCAAUGGUUGCUAUCUUGCUAAACAGCAGCCUUGUCUUCACCUUUAAUCCCAUCUAUCCUAGUAAUGCCGACUCUGAUAUUCUCGUUCCUGGUUACAUUUUUUUCAUUUCCUUUACCUUCGACUAGCCAAUUAACAGAUUCAAAAGGAUAAAAGUUGUUCAAAGUGAAAGAAGUUCUGAUCACAGACAACUUCUAACAGAAGAGAAAAGAGAAGAGGGGCAAGGGCAUCAAGACCAAAGAAGGAGCUAAGACCGCUUAGGCCUUUACUAAUGCCCCCACACUAAAAGAGAGAAAUCUAUGUAACUUUGGAUCUUAGCAGCAAUUUUUUAAAAGAAUAGUAGUGCUUAUUCCUUGCUUAUUUAAGAAAUUGAAUUACCCGAGUUAACUGAGGAAGUUCUAGUAAAACGCUUGAAUGCAGACUGACUUUUUCUCGCAUCUCACUCUUUGUACAAAGAGUCAUUCUUUCUAGCAGCUGUCUAAUACUGGUUAAGAGCUGCCAUUGGAUGAACUUUCAUGAAUUCUCUUUCCGGUUUGGUUUCCAAGAGGUGUCAACCAUAAAAAAAGAUCCUGUCCUUCAAAGAUCGAUCUAAUAAUUGCUUAAGUAAGGUAGUCACUUCUUUUUUUCGCUUGAUAGAAAUAUCAUAAAAGAAGAAAGAAGUUCAUGUAGGUCGGAUCCUAGUGUAGAUAAAUGCUAUCCGACUUGAAUGAUCGAAUCGAUUCUUUCACUUUGUAGAACUCGAAAUGGAGGCUCUCUUUACCAAGAGGAGAAGAUAAGGUAUUUUGGCAAUAGAAGGCAUAUUACUAAUUGAUUCUUUGGCCAUUUUGUGUUCGAAUUCUAAACCGGCAAGGCGCUGCUGGAUGCUUCUGAUCAAUAGAACACGAAGAAGAUAAAAAAAAGGUUAUGAUAAGCUUGAUCAGAGGAAAGUUUAUGAUGAGCAUCUAUUUGAGUCGAUUAUUUCCAAGAUCUAAUUCCAGUUUUUUCUUAUGUAGGGGAAAUGCCUUACAAUCUGAAGUUUUACGCUUAAGGGAAGAAAUGUUCUUGGUGGAUGCAGGACUUGGGACUCCCAGAAUUUGCAUGCAAGAUAAGCCUACAGGAGUGCUAAUCAACCGAGCCACCAGGAUUAAGAAUAGGGUGGGAUUCCUGGAUCUAGUGGCCGAUGAAUCAAUGAUCAAAGAGCAGAUUUUGGAGAGAUUCUUCAUCGAUCUAGUGGUCGGUGAAUAACUGAUCAAAGAGCGAGCAGCCGCCAGGUUUAAUGAUUUGGUGGGAUCGACAGAUGUAGUGGCUGGGGAACCGCUUCUUCUUCUUCCAUGAAGAUUCAGACAAAAUCGAGCUUGGAUGGAACUGAACAAGAUUAGGUGAACGAAUACAAAGGUCAAAGUCCUUAUUAUUGAUAAAGUAAAAGGAGGUUAUUCAGUAGCCAUCGCAGGUUUCAUUACUUUUCUUCCAUUCCAUCGCAGAAGAAAAAGGAUAUCGAAUGAUCGAUUCACCAUUGAGAACAUUAACCCCAAAAACACUAAUAUUGUGGUGUGGAUCUCUCUAUGAAUGGAAAAGGGGUGCUUCGGAUCGGGAGUAACCACUAGUGAUAGGGCAAAAAUAGGGGGGAAGGACAAAGGAAAGAGCGAUGCCUGCAUUAAGAUUUAAAACUUGUCGUCUACUUUCAGGAAAUGUUUGGAACAGAGAACUUACAAUAAUACAACGCCGCAUUCUCUGAAGAUUGAGGAACAAGAAGAGAUCUAUUAAGAGAAAGAUUUAUUCUAGAGAAAAUCUUAACAGUUACAUCCAAUCACAAACUACACGAAAGUUGUCCCUUUUUUAUGGAGAUUUACCCAUCACAGAGAUGCACAGAGGAAGAGAACGAACUUUAUAUAUCCCUUUUCUACUCAAUCCAGGAACAAGAUCGGACGUUAUCCCGGUUCCUCUCCAUUUUUGUGAAACUAUUCAUCAAGCAAGGCAGCCGAUAAGUCAUUGAAGGGUUUGUCUGAAUAAUGGAAUGGUUAACAUUACUCAUUUUAAACUCUCCCAUGGUGAUAUAAUAUCUUUUCAAGAAAAUGAUGCAACAACCCGUGGUGAAGAAAUAAAGAGAUCCUUCUAUAUCAAAAUCUCAGUUGAGAAAAUAAUAGGCAAAUUCCUGGAUCACCCAUGGAGAAGAACCAAAACAGAAUGGUUCUGCCUACUCAAAACUAAGAGGGGAUGCCUCCUACUACUAAAAUCCCAGUUUUUGCAACAGUUGUGUUCUUCUAUGCAAGAAGAAGACUUGGAAAGAACAAAGAAGUUUGGAUCCAAAAAAGUAUGCUUAGGCAGUUCUUUCUCUGAGCACAACAGAAUGAAGAGGAAUUUGUAUCAUUUCAAAUCCCUAUUCUUAUUGAAGAGAAGGAACGAGAAAAACCGAAAUAUUCCUACUCGAACAAGAAGUCCUAUAUUUUACAACUCUUCUUUAUAUAGUAAUUCGACCUAUUGCUCCGCAUCCUCCCAUCAGUUUACUAAAAUGAUCAAAAUAAAAAGGAUCGAACUACCUACUCAUUAUUCGGAGGUGAAUCAUAGAACACCAAAAGUUGUGGUAUCUUAUGGACCUAACAUAGGUCACAUACCUCAUGACAUAAGAUUGAAAGAUCCAAACCUUCUUCUUCAGAGCAAAAAGGGACGUGGCCAAAACAUAUAAAGAUCGACGUAGUCGUUCAUAGGGACAUAUCUAUCUGGAUAGAGAAUAGUCUAGGCCGAUUCAUAGAUAGAUCUCUCUCCAUAUAGAUAGGUAUCUCCGUGGAUAGAGAUAAAGAUAGGGAUCCAUCUAGAUCUUGAUUCACUAUUUCCAUAUUUUUGCUUUUUUCUGAUUGAUUGCCUUUUUUUUUUAUUUUGACGACAAGUUUUCGUUUUCAAUCUUAAUGCAGGAGCAUUCAGCCACUUGACUCUAAGGAAAGGAAACAUUGUUUUUUUUCAUUCUUUUCUUAUGAGGUCGUGUACAACAACCUUAACCGCACAGGCUUGGGCCGGGCCUACCUCCAUCCCUAGAGGAGCUAUAUGAGGUGAAAGCUCUACGUACGAUUUUGAAGCCGACGGGGCCUUGGGACCGAUAUGAUGAUUGGUUUAGGUAGCACCGACUACGGGCACCUGUAGGGAUUAGUGUGUGAGACCACGAUCCACAAACUAACGCAUGGGACUCACCCUUUACUUGGGAAUAGAGAGGGGAAACAUAGUAUGUCACAAGAGCGAGGCGAGGGUUGGAACCCCACUGCGAGAAGGGUGCCUCGCGAGCCGGGCUUUUAGAGAUGAGGCUUUUUGGCAAAGCCAAGUCAAUUUUGGGCCACCGAACCCUGCAACUGAUGAGAAGGACUUAUGGAGUAAAGGGAAGCAUGUACGUUGUCACACUCCUUCCCUUCUAAAGGUGCCUAAAGGAUGGGCCAGAUGCAGCAGAGCGACGACAGGGAAGCGGGUUCCCCACUGGAAGGGGGACAGGAGACGGCUAUCUCAAGGCACAUCACGACCUAUAGGCAAUACCAAUGAGACCUGGGAAAGCAACCCAAUUGGGUGUCAGAGGAUCCAUAGUACCUGCAGCCUCUCGGACUCAUAUUCAUCAUUUUGGAAAGCGAGGGGAAGAGAUCUCUUUUCUGCAAUGAAAAAAAUAAGCAUAUUUAACUCGACAAAACCUAACGAGACAUCCAAUACCAAUGAUCUGUGCCUAGAAUGCAUUGCUAGAUCUCUUCUCUAGAAAGCUAUACAGGUAACAACGAACGCGCUUUGACCCUGGGCUUCCCUUUCAUUACUUCUUUUAUGAUGAGAGAACCGCAUCCGCAUCAGUCGAAGUGGUGGUUAAUGUUCUUUAAAUAAAGCUCUGUUGAACCCCUACUUGAAAGGGAGAAUAGCAGAGUUGUUGUACAGCCUAAUGUCUUUUCCUAUAGAGAAAGCGGCUAACUACCUGAAAAUUCUGACCUGGACCCUUCUAUUGCAAUUAGUUGCUUCUUGAUGUACUUUAUCAUAUAAAGGCCAAAGUAGGCCGAAACGGAAAAAUUCAUUGGUUGUCUUUUGGAGUCUUCUUUAUGUGUGAUGUAUGUGCCCUGUUCAAAUAGACUAUUCUUUUCGUUUAGUAGCAUUCGAAUGGUUUAUCUUGGAAAUCAAAUUCUUGAGGAUUGGCCUCUUGCUAACUAAUUUACCGAGUAAGUUAGUAAGUAAUUGAGGGCUACCUCUACCCAACUUUUACCACAGGCUGGCUUUGAAAGAUGUCAGAGUGAAUUUGAUUCUUCGAUUCAAUUACUUUUCUAAUUCCAACCCCACACGUGGAUGUAGAAAAGUGCGUGAAUGGCAUACGCAAGAUUGGGGAUGGACAACGGAAAUUCAUUUAGUAUAGUCAGCUAGGAAGCACUAGCUAGGCAAGUCAUACUGGGAAUGCUGUUCCACACAUUGGUUCAAUUCUACCUUCCACAUCCAAUUCUUCUUUCAUUACAAGGCCCAACCCUUAUUGUGCAACUAAACUCUCGCCUUAUUAGGUUGCGGCAUUUACUUGAGCUAGGAAGCCUGCUAGUCGUACUAAUAGCUUGAAGUUAUGUCUUGAAGGCUUGCCCCCGACCCCCAACCUAGAAACAACACUAAGAUAUUUCUUUUCCAUUUUUUUGGUUAAAAGCAUUGCGUAGUAUAGUGAUAGUGCCCGAUCCGCAGCUGCGGAGUCCGCCAUCCCUUGAAAACACCUCCCAGAGGGGAGGGUUAUAGUAUAGAUGUAUGCCAAGGAAUAUUAUUAGUAAGACAGACGUAUAAAGUGCAUAUGUACUAUAGCUUCAAAAGAAAAUAGAUCCUUCUUUGGGUGUUCUGGUGGUGCCCCCGUCUGGUCUACUAUCGUCUUUUCACCACCAUUAGACUACUUUGGCCCACCAAAUGGCACAACCACAGUAGCUGAAUUGGCUCCCUCUUGCUCUAGUCUACACUCCCCUUGUGAGUCGCCACCCUCAUGUACUACUCUACUAUAAACAAACAGAACUACUACAGAUAGACUAGAAUAUUUCUUAUGUCAAACCAUUCGAUUGAAUGCAAUCUCUGAUGUCAAUGAAACGAAAAAGGGAUAUAUACAAUGAAUGGAAUAUGCUGCGUUAGUAUUUGAAAGCAUCUGCAAAGCCAACAACGGGCACAGUCGAUUGUAGAUCCCACAUGAUGCCUUGUACCCUCACCCAACCUUGUCUCUCAUUUGUUGACUUGAUUCGAGCUAACUUUCGAUCGAGGACUACCGGAGAAAAGUGUUUGUAGCAUCAAUUCCUUUCGGUGUACAUCUCUCCCAAAACAAAAUACCAUAAAACAUAAGCUGUCAGCUCAUAUCUAUCUCUGCUACCCGAUCAAACAAAAGCCGUUUGAUCCUAUAUAAAAAUGCGUACUCAUCGUGUCGUCCCUCAGCCUCCCGCACCCAUAUUCCUAAACAUCCCUGGGAGGAGAAUAAGGAUAGCUAGUCACGGAUAAUUUUCUCACCUACAUGGUAUACGAAUCCAAGACUUCAUAGCUAGAGGCUAGACGGUAUCAAACCACGGGACAGGGAAAAAAGAGUAGCUUUCUAGGUUCUGCCAUUAUAGGGUCAAAAAUAAUAAUAAAAAAGGAAAUAGAAGCGACGCCUGAUUCGCCAAAGUACCACUGCCACCAGGGCUUACAUCCUUCUAUCGCCUACUAGCUGCAUGCGUUAUAUACCUACUGCUUAUAUCGAUAGAAAGACUGAAACACGUCUCUCUAUAGCUUUGACUGCCAGAGGUUGGGAAGAAGGGAGGCGACUGGGCCCUAUCACAAAAUGAGCAAGUUAGCGACUUGUCAAAGCUUGGUGGCAGGUUUUGUUAGAAAAAGAAUAUUUUUCAGUGGGAGUCUCAUCUGGGUGGCUGGUUCAGUCGCUUUCGAGAACUCAGUUUGACGGGUAGUGAGAUAGCAUACUCGUAUGAUUGAUUUAAAGUCGGCCACUGAUUGAUGGCCUUUGACUCUUUGGACGGGUAUUCUAGAAAGGAUGUUUGGACUUUUAGUUGGAUCAUACGUGUAUAAUGUGUUUUCCAAGUAAACGUUUGAUGUUCCUUUUCUAAAAAAGCCUAAAGGUUUUCCUGUCUUGUUUAGGACUGGACAACUUUUAGGUUAUUACGCCUCUUAGGACCAUAAUAAAGAAGGGGAAGUUAACUAUUGCCUAUAAAAGGGCCCGGAUACCACCUAAACCAGUGCAACGUAGUAUUCCCAAGGAAGCUAGCAUAGCAAUAGGGAAUCCAUCUAGUAUUUACUAAGGAAAAAUGGUGCUGGGUGGUCCCACUAAGGUGAAUGUUAUUGAACCCAAUGUUAAAAGCCAUGUAAAGAAUUCCUUCUACAUCCAUUGCUACUGUAAGACCCCCAACAGGGGGAGAUGAGCAAGAUAUGGGCCUACACACUUGGAACAGCCUCACCAAGAGUCUGCACAGGCCCAGGAGUUAGGUUCUUUUAUCUUAUGGAGAAUGAUGAUGAGGAUUUACUCACUGAUGAAGACGCCAUGAGUCAAGACGAGGAAGAGGUUUUUAGUUUGAGUUGGAGUGGAAGCAGUGAAGGAGGUGAGUUCCCUAACCUACGUGAUCCCAAAGAGAAGAGAGUUUAGUCUACGAAGGGUUUGGGUUAUCAGUCCAGAUCAGUCCCACACAGGCCACAGAGAAAGAAAGAACGCCUGAAAGUGGAAAGCCUAUCUAAAAGGGGAAGAAAAGUAGCUGCUCAACAAAGUCAGGCAUUUCAGAAAAGGGCAUAGCUAUAAUUCCGCUAGGACUUGAAUCCAUCUUCAAUGAACCAAUCAAAGCACCUAAGAUCGACUUGCUAAUUCAUCAUAUCUUUUGAAAAAGGGACCUGUAGAAAAAGAUUUGACGUGAAGGAGGAAGAAGGAAGGGCUGCACUACUAACGUAAAUACUACCGUGAACAAACUCGCAAUGGCAUCUAAGGGCGGUCAUUACUAAUAAAAUAAGCAAUCUUCUUCCCAGUAAUGGAAUGAAGAAUUCGACAAAUUAUUAUUCUAUAUUAUUAUUAUUAUUUUUCGAAUUCUUCAGAGUUGGAUUUCCUGCAAUAGAAAGAUCGAGAACAUGGGAGGUGUUGGGUGUAAAAGUGGCUUUCUUCUCUAACGAUAUUUAUAGUCGGGUCGGAUGAAAAGAGCGCUCCUAAAUGUUGUUAUCUUGUAAGUGUCUAUGCAAGAUCACUUUAAGCAAUUGUCGGUUACCUUUUCUGAGGAUUGAGAUCGAGCUUAAGUUGCUCUUGCUAGACGUCUAGUAGGAGUUUAUUGAGAGAUAGUUGUUGUCCUUUUCGCUUAUCAUGCUAAGGAUUUCUCGAUGGUUUUAGUUGGAGGCCAUUUUCAUGCCUUUAAUGGACUAUCGGGGUUAGCAGGCGUGGCUAUCUUUUCUCCUAUGUAUCUAAGCUAAGGGGCAUAGCUUUUACUAAAAUGAUUUUCAUUAUCUUACUUUAAGUAAUGGGACUACCCUAAUAGGUUUUUCUCUCCGGGUAAGCAAGUGAAGUAAGCUCCCCCACCUAGUUCCCUUGUAAAGAAAGUGUACUAGUAGGGCAUAGUUCCCUCAAGCCAGUGUUUCCUUUACUAUCGGUCCCGGCGAGCCAAUAACAUAGGGAGAAAGUUUACAUUUAUUUCCAGGGGAGGGGAAAACCUAUGCAUAGUGAUAAAGGCAUAAGAACUCUAACUCAAAUGAAGGGAGUAAGGUUGACUCCGAUCCCUUCGUCCCUCAUCUAGACCGACAGCAAAAGCAACUGAAACUAUCCAGAAUAAACAACAACUACAACUAAAACCAUUGGGAAUCAAAGAAAGCAAAAAAUCUAUAUUCUUGUAUGUAACCAGCCCUAGGAAAGGGGCACUCUAGUGCAUAAACUUAUUUAGACGAAAAAAAGGGGGCACGAAAUAAACUUGGCAGUCAAUCAUUGUCCUAUGAUAUUGACUAAUUAUUAUUAUUAUUAUGCAAUACCAUAUUCUAUUAAGUCAGUUAUAAUAGACUAGGAAUCCAGAAAACUUCAAAUCAAGAGAUCAUACUCCGCCAACUACGCUUGGUUAAAGCUUUAUCCCGGUUUGUUUCAUUUUCUUUCAAUUCUAGUGGAAUCACUAUGAUAGCUUUCCUCAGGAUCACAAAACACUAUUCUAUUAGGUCACGAACUCGUGCCCCAUUCUCUCUGACCGAGGCACUAGAUCUUCUAUCUAUUCGAUUGACCCUAAAGCUAGGAAGACUACCCUACCUUCGACUAAGAGUGUCUUCGCCUAGAAACUCUUCUUGCGUACUUGACGCCCAUUUCCUCUAGGCUAGUUCAUUCCCAAAAAAAAACUACUUGAAUUAGCAAGGAUCCUUAAGAAAGCGGGUGCCAUUCUGUCAGCUUCGUCCCAAUAGAUAUCUCUUCUCUUAAAUAGCAACCUAAAGAAUCUCUCUUUCCACAUGAAGUUUGAGGGAUAAGGUCUUCUGGAAACCUUUUGAAGUGGCAAACUAAGUCAAAGAAAGAAGCAACUCUCCCUGGACCGGAGAAGCUCAAUUUCAAAGGUUAGGAGUUUAGUUCUGACUAGUACUGCCGAGGAGCGAUUCCUCUGAAUGGAAAGUAUGAGUUCAACUGCCCUUCCUUCGUAGAAUGAAUUUAGGGAGUAAGGAGACAAAAAGAAUGUUUUCAUACCUUAAACCUAUAGCUAUCAAUAGUCUGCACCUUUGGUUUUGUCAACACUGAGAAGCGAAGAGCUCAAGGUCACGCAAGGCAGUCUAAGAGGCUAUGGAAUAGUUGCCUCAAAAUAAGGGGUUAUAUAUGAUUAACCAUUUAUAGACAACUUUAUAGAUUUGUUUAUGGAUCUUUGAGAAUUGAUUUUUAUUUCCCUGAGAUCGUGGAGAAGACAUGUCAAGUCCAAUGAAUUUUAAUCCUUUAUCUCUCGGCUCGGAAGGGCACCAACGGUCAUGUUAUCAUAGAGAAUAGCUGAGAUAAAAGCUAUGUUAUAUGCGUGAAUCCUUUUAGAAAAGCCCUUGCUUUCUUAUAUUGUCUAAUUGAAGUAAAGUAAUGUACCUAUACCCAGGAGUAGAAAAAAAGCAAAUAAAUCUCUCUUGUACUGGAGAGUUUUCCCCCUAAGGCAUCAAUAGGCUCUAAAAAUGCAACUUCAUAUGCUUGUAGGGGUCUACUCAUUUGCCUUCUAUCCUGCCUUUUGAGGAAGAGGCCGCUAAGGAAGGCCUUCCAACCAUAAUGCCUCCAUGGACGGGCGGCGUGCUCCAUUCUUAGUAUUGCAUAGUAAGUCCCGCAUGAGUAGAGGCGUGCAGGCAAGCGAAUAGAAAAGUAGUCUUUCUCCGUGGCAAGCAUAUUCAAGUACCGAACAGCUCGAGGAGUAGGCUUCCCGAUGCUGAACUGUAUUCCUUAGGUUCAGAGGUUCAUAGGUUCGUAGGAGGAGCCUUAUGUCGUAGGCCCUUCUUGCUAAAAAGUAGAGUUUUGACCGACUCUCUGUGCCUAUGUGUGAAAACGAGUAUGUGAACAGAACAUCUUUCAAACAUCGAGAUGAAAUAAGCCGUGGGGCUGGCAAACAGAACUAAGAGCUGCUCAAGGCACCACCAGCCCUUGGCAUAAAAAUCAGCUCAAGCAAAGCGAUAUUAUUUUCAUAUUCAUUUUUUAAGCCCUGGGUACCGUGCAAUCUAUUUCAAUCUAUUUCAGUUGCCAAUGAAAUAGAAUAUGGGGAACUCUCCAUCUAAGUGGUUAGUCUGACGAGUCAAUUCUCAAUGUGAUGCAUCCGUGAAAUGGGAUGAAGAUCUGCACGAACUUAGUCCAGUCCUAUUAAAGAUGGGGGCAAAUCAAAAAACUCUUAUAGAUAGAUAGGAUAGGAAGGAAGAACCACUGAUAGCAUUUGCAGCUACUUUUUUCCGAUCGAUAUAUAAGCAGUUGGGCGCGAAGCUUUCUUCGUGAAAAAUCUCAUCCUUGUCAAUAUAGGACUGUCUUUCAUUCUGCUUUUACUUAUUUUUUGGAAAUCUAUCAUUUUCAAAAUUUUUUCAUUGUCUUUAGUAUAAUCUAGCUUCACACCUCUCGCCUAUUGGAACACCAACCCAAUCGUUGAAAGCAGAAGUGGGAUUGGGGAAUGGAAGAACAAGAACAUCUUCUUUACCACCAAAAAUGGUAACAUAAUACCCUUCUUCACUCAUGCUUGUCAUCUGCUCGUGAAUAUCAUCUAGUCAAGUCUUUGUUCUUUUAUUCUGAAAUAUGGGUGCUAACCAGAUUCCCCAUGUUAUAUGCGAGGUGAAUAAAAUUCUCUAGAGAGUGAGUUUCUGAUCAUAAUGACCACCUAAAGUUGGAUUUCUAGUUGUAGUUUUUAGUUUGGGGUGCCAAUAGUAGUAUAGUUGCUUAGUCAUCCUUCCUCUUACAUAAUACAAUAUAGGUGUUUUUCAUGCUGCCUUUAGCAGAAAACGGACUUAAUGGACAAAUAAGGGAUAGGCCAGAAUCAGUUCUUGAACUCCAGAGAACAGGUGGAAAGAGGUUCAUCAGAGCGAUAGGGAAAGCUUAUAGAGGGGUGGUCUUACUAUGACAAGUGAACCCAGGGUUCUCUUUAUUCGGUGUCCGAGAAAGAGAAAGGAAUCUAUUCGGGAAGCGCUUGCCAUCCCCUUUACCGAUACCAAGGGGAAGCAGGAAUUAGACCAAUAGGGCACUGCUCUCUACCUGUCGUAACAACAACAAAAGUCCAUACCGGAAUUUCAUUACCUUAUUCCCCCUAAAACGGAGACAUUGGUAUAACAGGAGGCUCGAAAGACCUCGAGCGUAAUAUACGCUACAAUCGGACAGAUUUUAGCCACUUCUUAACCAAAAUGAGGCGAUCAAGAAAGUCGUGGGCCUUGUAGUACCUACAUACGAUAGCUCUGUGGAGCUUUUCAGGUUGAAAACUAUUUGACGUUAGAACCAAUCUCAAAACCCUAAUAUCACCGUCUUCAGAGAAAGGACUUUCUCUAUAUCUAUAUUUAUGCAACUAGUUCUUUCACUUGCUUCCAAAUCCAUCCAUUUUACUUACUCAAAAGCUUUGAAUAUCCUACUAGAAAUCUUGCUUCUAGCUUUGGGCACCUCUGACAAAAACAGAAAUAACGUAUAUACAAGGCUAGCCUUUUCUCUCAAGUGUCUUGGUAUUCGAUCCGCCUUCUGUUAACAUGAACAUGAAUUAAUUCUAUUCGAAUUCUUUAUUCUUCAGAGAAUCUCCCACCCAAACCAUUCUUAAGACCACCAAGCUCUCUCGAAUGAAUUCUACUCUUUUUGCUUUCGAGCUACACCGGGGGAAAAAUAUUUUCCCCACUAAGACGUGCAUCUUUAUGGCUAUAUCGUCCUGAAUACGGAUGCGACGGGAAGAAGUGGCAUUUAGAAGUGUUGCUGCCUUAAAAUUUAGGUUUCGUCAUAACAAAGCUUGCACUGUCUUUUCACACUUAGGCGCACAGCGUGCCAUUGGUAAUGAUUCUACUACAGUGCCAGAAAUUCCCAAGCUGAUCCUAAGUAAUCGUUGUUGUUCAUUGGAUUCCGGAGAAACUACUUCAUUAGAAUUGGGGAAUUACUGUGAUUCUUCCUGAAUAGCCUGGAUUCUCCCGUCGAGAGUCACUUUGAAAGUAUUACCUAAACUCUUCCGACUGAAUAUGAUAAAGCCUAUAAAACAUAGAGCUACUAUCAUUUCUUCAUUAUAAAUUGAGAUCUUCUUCUAACUUGAUGUACAAAUAGAUAGAAUAGCAGCAAAUAGCAUCUUUCUAGCCUGCAUAUUCAUGGAACUCAAUCUCAUUUAGAAAGCCUGAUCUCUAUCUUUCAGGAACUGAAUGAGAAGUGGUUUAAGAAUAAGAAAGGACUGAUGAAUCGGAUGCUCUCGCCCAGUGAGAAAGGCCCUGACCUUGCCAACCAAGUAUCAAAAAGAAAAAAGAGAACUUCAUAUUUUUGUAACUCUCUAGGAGUCAUCUUUAACCUUGAAUGCUAUUAAUAGAUUCUACAGCAAUAGUCCCUCGGACUCGGAAAGUAAUAACGAAAAUAGCUAACCCAAUAGCAGAUUCCGCAGCUGCCACCGUUGGUACCAAUGAAGCAAAUAAUUGACCCAUCAUAUCAUUCGAAGAAACAGAAAAUACCAAAAAUUUUGAAUUCACAGCUAAUAACAUUGAUUCAAUUGGCAUUGACCUAAUAGGAAUAUUUCGUCUAUUAAGGAGGAUUCCCCGAAUACCUGAAAUAGAGAUAAUCAUAGAAAAUGUGAAAUAUUUGAUAGGAUCCAUUUUGGUAACGUAGAAUGGUUAAGAAAUUCAAAUGUGAAACAAUAUGUCAGCUCUUCUACUUGAAAUAUCCUUCAAUUAUGGAUAUGGAAGAAAUCUUCUUUUUUAUACUCAUGUUUCCCCUCCCAUCGUGCUCCGCCGAUUGUUGUGCUCGUGUUAACCAAGCCCUCAAGUGUCGUAAAUUAUCCCUGGGGACAUUGGAUUUGUUGGCAUUAUAGCCAGCUUUGUUGGCGAAGCGGUCAAUAAUCAUUUCGACAAUCUCACUUGGUGAUGGAAGUUCACCUAAGUUGUGGUGCCACAACCUUCGAACUAGGCAUGCCUUCUCCAAUUCAAUCGGGGGCUAAUCUCUUCGGCCAAGCAAUUUUUUUGUUCUUUAAUCUUGGCCAAUUCAAGUUGAUCCAAGGCUGUUUCAAUCUAGGACCGAUCCCCUGGCUCUUCUUCAGCCGCGGGAAGGCUUGGUUCUGUCGAAGAGCUAAUACCCCCUCCAGUGCCCUCACCUGAUCCUAAGCCAGAGGCCCCUGCCUAAAUUUUUGACCAUUGCUUCAAGCUCUGCUCUGGGAGAAUGGCCCCACCCAAUGUGAUCGACGUCGCAUCUCAACUUAUUCGUGCUUCGAGCGAACACCUACUUUGAGCAGAAAGAAAUCCUUUCCUAAAGUGAAAGUGAAUUCAAGCCGGUACAUCAUAUAUAAAAAGAGAGGCUUCAGUUUCUUGCUUAUCUAUGGAUUAUCGCAUUGUUCCUGGCCUUUCUAAAAAUGCAUUUUAUUGUUAGGAAAUAAGGGAGACUGUGACUCUCCCCCUUUAUGUGUUUUAUACAAAGUCAAAGAGGGUCUUGAUAUCUUUCUUAAGGGUUUCUUUCAACGUCUUACAAUUUGUUCUCAUCAGGAACCUCUGGUGUUGGAUGUAGAUUUGGAACUUUAGGAUGGACUUCACCGCUUUUUUUGAUUUUAAAGGGAAAGAAGAAGUGUCGAACAUCAACUUCUUUGAUAACCAAGAAGAUAUUUCCCAAUAGCGGUCCUCCUUUUGUCAAAAUUAUAGACCAGGUAUUUAUUUCUCUCCUUCAAGUUCUACUGCACCCUUUGGUCAAGUAAACCAAGCUCACAGAAGAAAGGAAAUCUUUUACACCGAUGUAUCUUACUCUCUAGACUAGGUCAUCAUAAGAAAAUACUAAAAAAUCUUUACAAAGUGAGAGAAGGAGGGAAGGUGCACUACAACUAACAUAACAGCCAGCUGAAAAACGUUAGCAAGCUAGGCUAGCGCGCAAUGGCUUUCUCUGAUAGGGGCUUGCUUCUUUAAGCUCCGCCCAACCUAUACAAGGUGUUGCUUGCAUUCUCUCAACCACUAGUGGCUUAGGUAGUGGUGAAUAGAUUUGCCAUUUCUUGAAAUACGAAGGCACCUUUGGAUGUUGUCGUGACGCUUUGGUUACGAAGGUUACCGUGGUCUAGGGGAUGGAUUCAGUCAGCGAAAGUUCCUCCAACUCAAUCAAUAUCAACAAGAUGUCAUGACCGCUUAGGCUUGGUUUAUUUUGUCAUAAAAGAAGGUUGGUUUCGUGGGUUCAUUGAUUAGUACACAUCCGGUGCUGGUAAGGCCGGGACCGUGGUUGUCCGUCUCUGGUUUGUCGGCUGAUAAGAUCUCUAAGAUUGACCAGCCAGCUGGGUUAGUUUGGCUAUUCUUUUCUAUUGAAAAGGAGUCAGCUGUCUGCGCGAGUCACCACUUCUCCUUGACUAAGCCCGUGCUCCUCCAGGGAGAGAGUUUGCUUUACCCAACUCCCUUUUUGAUAACAAGGCAGAAAUCCCCGACCCGACACUUGUUAGUUUCGAAUGAAGAAUGAAAAGUGCCCUGCCCUAGCAAGCACCUACUCCUAUCAAAAAGAGAUACUUUACUAAACAAGCAAGAAAGGCUCUUUCUAUAGUCAUUAGUCAAGUGCUAACGAGAAAGAAAAGGGAUGCGCUAAGAAGUAAGGGCUUUCGUGCAGCUGCUGCGCCCUUGCUUCUUGCCUUAUCUUACUUAGUAAAGCAACCUUUCAUGCUAGGCGCUCACUUUUUCCCUAAAAUAGAAUAUUUGGAAGUUGGUAAAGACCCGCCCCUUAUUUCAGUCAGAAUGAGUUCCCGAGACCCUGGGACAUUGGCUUCCGCCAAUAGUGAACUAUUAAGGAUUGCAUCCCGCGCAUAUUCUACAUUAUAGCCUGCAACUGAUUCAGCUUCCGCUUCUGGGAGAUCAAACGGAGCUCGAGUAGUUUCUGCUAGAUGAGAUAUAAAGAACAUAACCAAUACAGGGAACAAGAGAAUACCGGACCAUAUCUGCUUUUAUGCCAUGACAAUCUCACUCGAAUUACGGGAACCUACACAUAUUAGUACAGUAUACCGGGGUCCCCGGCCAAAACAACACGUGCAAGUUUCCCUGCAUGUGGCUCGUUCGUGCUUUCUGAGGCGCUGCCUGUGACUUAGCAUGGGAGAAGGGGGUAGAAAUGCACACUUUCGUGUUCAGAGCAUUGUCCAAGUGAGUAGGCAGCGCCUACCAAGCAAAGCUUUCUUAAAGAGGCAGAGCUGGUUCCUUUUCGGGGCCCGCCCUUUAUUUAUUUAGAUGUUGAGGUAAGGCAAGCCCCAGGAAAGUCUAGGUUUACUCCCAGCUCCAUCUCGGCCAGCAUCUUGCUCUCGAGGGGGUGGGGUCCUAGAGCAAACUGCUCGUUGCAGUUGAUGGCUGUUAUGAUGCCUACAUAACUACUUUCUACAUAGCAUAUGUUCAGGAUAAGGAACUUUAGCAAGUACUGCUGUGAUCUUUACCCUUAGCCUAGCAGUAGGAGGAUUCUCUAUUGCCGCUUUUAUGUAACCACGAAUGGCUCUUGUUCUCAGACCAGGAAUCCUAUCUUCCUAUAUGGCGAAAAUCCUUCUAACUCUUUUUAAGUCAAUAAUGUUUAAACCGAUGCCAUAGCCUUACCACAUCGUAAUAGCUGCUAUUGAAUCUGGUGAAGUAAGGGCUAGGUUGCAUCUCCUUGGGCCUUGGUAAUAGUUCUUCAUUCUUCUUCUCUUAGUGCCCUCUUUCAGAAUCUCUAUCCUAUUUGUCACUUACCUUUUCCUUGUUUUCGUUGUUAGGAGUAUACUAAAGGAGGCAAAAUACCCUUUCUAUGAAGAAAGGGUACCAUACCAAUAUGGAAAUCAAUUGUUUGAAAGAUCUGAAGCGGAAGAUCGACCUAUUUUUUAGAAGAAAGUAUGGGGUUAGCCUCGCCCACUUUAAAGACUAGGUACCCGUAGCGUAGUGUAGCCUACUCAUUGUCAGAGCAAGCCUUCCCUAUGCAAUGGUGCUUUCUAGUUCGUAUCUGUGGGGCGCCCUAUCACCCUAAAUCUAAGCGAUGGAAGCGUCACUCUCUGUGUUUCACCAUCAGGCGUAUUCUCGUUACCAUUGAAACUGUGGUUAGCAUUUCCUUCUUUAGGAGCCGGGUGUCGCACAGAGCUUUAUUCUUUAUUUAAUAGCGCUAAGUAGCACCUUCUCUUUUCUUACUCGAGGAUUGCUUUGAUUAGACUCUUUUGCAUUUGGGAAUACCUUUUGCCUUACUAGAUCUGUUCUUGGAAAAAAGGAGCAUAAACCCAGCUUGGUCAUUGACCCUUUUAUGGACCAAUAUCCUACUCCCCCACGAAGAACAAUCUGAGAAAUGGGGAUUAGUGAGAACUAUCCAUUCGAAGUCCAAUCCAAUCCUUUUCUACUUCUAUGCUCGGUCUCCUCUAUCUAAUUCCACUUUUUGGUAAAUAGAAGUAACUAACCAGGGUAGAAGAGAAAAAGCCAGAAUGAUCUUAGUGAACUGUAAACCGUAGUUCAAGGAGGCUUUCUAAGUCCUAUCCUAGUAGGGUCGAAAGCAAAGGAUUCAGAGACUCUCUUUCUAAUAUUUCUGUUCAAGGAGAUAUUACCACAAUACGUUCUUUUCUUUCUCCUCUUCCAUAGCUCCCAGACAACUACCCAGGGCAAUGCUUGAUAUAAGGGCUUUAGAUUUACAUUUACAGGGUGUUUCCACCACCUUUGAAAUACCUGCUGUAAGCUAACACCAUGUGUAAGACCUGCACCCAAGGAAAACUACUACCAUACAUUAUCAGCACAUUGACUCUUUAGAAAAAGAUACUACAUGGUUUCUACUGUUGGUCGAUUACAACACCAAGACCUUGAGGGCAUUGUAUAUCUAAGUCUUAUCAGAAUGUCAUCCAAAGGAAGUUUGCAAUGUCACACUCUCCAUGAGAAGAAUGAUAUCUUGAUUGGCAACCAUAACGCUCUAACGUACGUUGUUAUGGUGCUUUGGAACACUGCCGAUCGCCACCUCUUGCAAGCAACUGUUGGUCACAAAUGGGAAUAAUCAUACGCUAUCAUAGGCGCUUCUAAUUUCUUUGGAGAUUAUCAAUGCAGCAUACGCUAUAAUCCGCCUAGUUACUUACUACUCUACUUAACAACAAAUCCAAAAUGAAAUGGAAUUCAAAUUGGUCGAGAAAAAGAACCACGCUAGUCGGAAUUUGGGGAAAGAUAGAGAGCUCUCUAGGCUCUCCUGAUCAAAUUGAGAGUUCGCUUUGCCAGUCCAUGACUAUGCCGCACCCAGCAGUUCGAGGAGUUGGCCAGAUACGGGUCGAAGCCCUGCGUCAAAAAAGUCAGGACUUUUGGGCAGAUUCCAGUAUCCGACCCAUCUCUUUCUGCCGAUUCCCCGUGUUGUCGGAAUCUCUGGUUUGAUCAGGACCAGGAGUCCCAUUUAUUCAUUUAUGGGAGCGACUCUCUGUUCUUAUUCUCCACCAGGUCAUCAAGUAAUUAGCCAGCUCAAUCCACUUUUCCAUCUGAUGAUCUUCACCCUAGGACUGACUCUGUUUGACCUGGCUUGAUUGCCUAGAUAAUGCUACUAUCGCAAGAAACCUCUCAAAGAAUAGGGAGUGAACGACCCUUCUAUCUAGAUCGGUGAUUCCAUUUGGCCGAGCCAGCUAUCAAAAGUCUUGCAAGCAACCUACACUAAGCUAAGCGAGCUAGAAGCUAAAGUGAAUCUUUUUUGGCAUCUUUUUCUUUGCUUUGACCGCGACUUUGUUUAGUCUUCCUCUUUCCUUCGGCCUAUAUUUCAAAGCUAGCAAAAAGUUGUAGCCUUCGGGAUCUCUCUUGAACGGCGGUCGAUCAGUCCUUUUCUUCUGUUGAUACUGAGAGUGAUGCUUUGACUGUCUCCCAUAUCAUUCGAUAAUAAAGAUUCACUACUUUCCUUGUCGACGUUAAACUCAGUACGUCACUUUCUUACUAGUACACCUACUAGAUCCAUACUUAUUACGAAUGUGUUCACCAGAUAUCUGACUUAGCAACCUUCUUCUUAGACUGGCAACGAUAAGGAAGGAGAUCUAUGGAUAAUGGGAUAUAGAAGUCAGGUGCGAUGGUCAGCUCAGUCAGAGCGGAAACGGUCAGGAAAGGUUAUCAUCAGACAAUGUAGUGCAAGCGAUGGGUAGCGCUUGCCAUAUGAAGAAGGCGACUAUAAUGAGAGAUGAAGGCAACGUGGGCUUUCCAUAUAGAUGUAGCGCUUGCAAGGCAAUUCAGACGACGUUAGCAAGAUGUAGCGCUAGCUAAGUUAGGGUAGCAUUUGCCAUAAAGAAGCUAGCCAGAAAGUAGGUCAGGAAGGUGAACGAUAGUACAAGCAAGCUAACACGCGGGCGAGGUUGAAGGGGUCUUGUGCAACCUUCAAAUUAGCGCAAGUGCAACCUUUGACCCCUUCAUCGAUAACCUCUCAUUUGUUUGACUACUCGCGGGGCCUGCUGCAUUUAGGUAUAAGAAGCCCCACCCCAGAAAAGAUUGUAAAGCAGUACUCAUGUUAAAUUGUGUCCCUUGUAAAUGAAAGAGCUCAUGCCAUAAAUUGCUAAUGAAGACCGGGUCCCCAGUCGUUGACAAUUGAGUAUGGCAUUCCAUGUAAUGAAACUAUCAGUCAAUGACAUGUUUUUUGCCAAGGUAGAUCUUUUUCUUUGCCUUUAAAGAAAUUGUGUAAGUAAAGAGAAAGAUAGCCAGUCCUCUUGGGCGGCCGAGAGUGUUACGUAAAAAAGACUAAGGAGGAUCCUAUCCGUCACGAGAAGGAGGAGUAGUAGGAGCUAGCCUUAGGGGCGAAAUCGAAUGAUUAGGAGAUAAACAAUGAGACAAAUGAGAGCACUUAGACAAUUCACUUUGAGUACAGGGAAGUUUGCCAGUAGGAAUUCCCCAGGGCGUAUUAAGGUUUUUCACCGAGGGGGUGGAUCGAAGCGAUUGCAGCGAAGAAUUGAUCUGAAAUGAAAGACUGAGUCUAUAGGCAUUAUAGAAAGGAUAGAACGUGCACCUAAUAGCUCUUCUUGGAUUGCUCUGGUAUGAUGUUUCCCCCAGAAGGGUCCGCCAAUUCAACACAAUAAAAGAGUUUGCUCUGCCGCGUAAGAUCCUUGAAUCAAAAUCAACCACGACUACUAUAUUUGGGAGAAAAUAUUUUAGGGUAUUCGCUCUUCUCUUUGUACUCCUUUUUAAUUGGUACUCGGGGGGAGAUUCUCGAAGGAUUCGUUGCCGCGUGCGACGGGAGGAGGGAGCCCUCCUUUGACCAUAUUUACCCUUCCCAAAGAGAUGCGUAGCCAGCCAUUCCCCAGCCGGAUGUUCAGCCAGUUCCGCGCGCCAUCUUGGUUCCGGAAUUAGAGCACCCUCUUCUUUCGGAUAGGCAAAGGAGAGCAGAGCUUCAGACCCAGCUAGCAUUCUUCUUUCAAGAGAGGAACGAGGCCAGCCACCUCCUAAUCUAUCUUGGGAUACUGGAUAAGCAGUUCCUGGUCGAAAAGAGGGUUGAGGCUGCAUUGGUGUAGGAUGGGUUUUCCCCCCAGAUGCUUUUGCAUUGGAAGUGGAAAAUCCACAGCAUCUUAUUCAGUCACCCUACUUGGGUGGGACUUGCUAUCGCCAAAAAUACAUUAAAUAGGUAUUUGGACUAGAUGGAAUAGGAGGGCACGCGACAGAUUCUACCCUAUCUAAGAGUGAUUCGCACAAGCUGGUUUUGGGUUUGAAUGGGUUUGGCUAGCAUAGAAAUCUCUCAAACCGGCGAAGGGGAUGCAUUUCUGGUACUGGUGGUAUUGGACAAGCUCUAAGGGAAUAAUCUCUUUCUUAUUUCUAUAUUUUUUUCCCAUGAUAACUAAGAACAAGAAAAUCCAAAAUUUCACUUUGAAUUUUGGACUUCAACAUCCUGCUGCUCAUGGUGUUUCAUGAUCAGUAUUGGGAAUGAACGGAGAAGUGGUGGAACACGCAAAACCAAAUAUUGGCUUACUCCAGUGUGGCACGAAGCCGCUGAUGCCGAGUCGACUCUAUGCUGCUGGCUAUGCCCUACUUGGUCCCCCUCCCCUAGCACGGUGAAGGAUUCGUAGCACGUCAUGAGCAUCGGGAUAAGGGGCGGUUGAUCAACUCAAGCAAACCGCUUUACCUUAUUCCAAUAUAGGGACAGAAGGGAGAAGGUUGUGAAGGUGGCCUCGUUAUCCAUACCUUCGGUCGGAUGAAUGGAGGACCGACCAACCCGAGUUUUCACGAGCAUUGGCGGGUUUUGGAGUGCCUAUCAAGGGCACUAGCGCAUACCCUGGGGUGAUCAUCACCACCCGCACAUACAGUUUUUAGGGGGAUCUGGUCGAAAAACCGGUCGGCGCCCACCCAACUAGAGGGACUGAGAAAUUAAUUGAGUACAAAACUUAUCUUCAAGCUUUACCUUAUUCUGAUCGUUCAGAGGGCGAUCGUGGGGUCACUAAAUGAAGUCCUCCAUUUCUUUCGGAGGUGCUGACCCACAGCGAGGCAGAGAUGACUAAGUGACAUAUGGAAUAUGGUGACGACUAUAGCAUGUCAUAAAAGGAGAUAAAAUAUGGAACCAAAGACCCACUAAGACUAACCUAUCUACAACUACAUCCCCGAGCGGCAGUCAAAUGGGGGUGUUAAUGCAAGAUACCAGCGGAAUGAUCGGCCGGACAAAGGCUAGGGCUGCUUCCUUCCCACUGCGUUCUUCCUUGUGUGUUAGAGAUAUAAAGUGAGUGCACCAAAAAAGAAUCGAUCAAUCUAUUCUAUGGUGAAGCAUCCAAAGCAUAACUGCACACUCACACGAUCUUUGCUAAGAGAUAGAAGCAUUCGGUGGAACCGGUGAACUACACUUGCUUCUGGAUAGAUGUGUGGGACAGAUGGCUUGUGGUACCUGCUGCCUACCCUUCCUCCUCUGCUUUGAGAACCGUGUGAACGGAGAGUGGGCAGAAGAGAAGGAGGUCCUCAUACAGAUUCGCAUACUUACUUGAGCAGUGCGGGAGACUGGGGAAUGGGUCGAAUAAACUCCCCUGGGGUCGAAAAAAUAACAGACGAAGCUUUACUUAGAUAGGGCUUUGAUUGGUCUUUUUUUUCUUAGUGAUUGGAAAGGAGGGCGCCUGGGUAUGUUAUAAAAAGGGAAGGCGGAAGCAUCGAAUGGUGAAGAGAGGCAGCUCGGCAGGGAAGGAAUGGGAAAUUGUCAAGGAUGACUUCUUUGUUGGCGGAACAAAGGUCGCAUUAGCGAGAGUGAUUCUCUGAGCUGGGGCUAAGAUAACUCAAGUGGGAGUUCCGUGAUAUGGGUGACCUUAUUGCACGGUUCAGAGAGCACUUGUGUAUGUGAUGCAAGUAAACAUCUACGAAAAAGUUGUCGUAAAGUUUCGUUCUUCAUUCUAUCGUCAACCCUAUCUAUGUUUCUAUGAUGGCCCAAGAACACGCUCAUUCUUCAGUUGUAAAGAGACUUUUGAAUUGCGAGGUACCAUUAUGAGCUCAAUAUAUACGAGUGUUAUUCCAUGAAAUAACUCAAAUUUCAAAUCAUUCACUUGCUUUAACUACUCAUGCUAUGGAUACAGGAGCAUCAACUUCGUUCCUGUGGGCUUUUGAGGAGCGGGAGAAAUUGUUGGAAUUCUAUGAAAGAGUCUUGGGAGCCAGGAUGCAUUCUAGUUUCAUACGACCAGGUGGAGUGGCACAAGAUCUGUCUCUUGGCUUAUGUAUAGAUAUUGAUUCAUUCACACAACAAUUUGCUUUUCGUAUCGAUGAAUUAAAAGAGAUUUCAACCGGCAACUGUAUCUGGAAACAAUGAUUAUUGGAUAUUGGUACUGUCACUGCACAACAAGCAAAGGAUUGGGGAUUCAGUGGUGUAAUGUUAAGAGGUUCUGGGGUAUGCUGGGAUUUGCGAAAAGUAGCACCUUACGAUGUUCAUGACCAAUUGGAUCCUGACAUACCAAUAGGUACCAGAGGAGAUUUCUAUGAUCAUUACUGUAUUCGUAUCGAAAAGAUGCGACAAAGUGUUCAGAUCAUUAUGCAAUGUCUUUAUCAAAUUCCUAGUGGCAUGAUCAAAGCUGAUGAUCGUAAGCUAUGUCCUUUAUCACGAUCUCGAAUGAAACUAUCCAUGGAAUCGUGCACUGUGUGAAAUGUAUAUCAUCAUUAUUCUUAAUCGAGACUCAGAUUAAGCUCCAUCUCAGAACCUUGUGGGGUUAGGAGUAAAGUAUCCCAAGGUUGGCGCAUCUUGUUGAGCGUGGAGAAGCAUUGGGAACCCUAAUUUUUUUUCUUCGAAGCCAUUUCUUUUUCCGUCCCCCUACCCCGGCAUAGCGCUUCACUUUCGGUUCUUCGAAAGAAUCAACUUACGUCUCCCUUCUUCAUUGAUUUGGGGAAAAAAAAACCGUCUACCAGUUAGGAAGCUAGACAUCAAGUAAGUGGUUUGAUAAGGAUAACUAAGCUGACACGCCAGAGCUGGCUGCUGGCACAAUGGGGUGGUGCCUUACCGCACUGCAGGCAGAUGCGUGGUAGCAUUCGUGGUGGUGCUUCAGGAUUCUAAUAUACUGCGUCCAAGAUCAGAACGAGCUUGUCGACGGACCACUGCCGUCCCAUUCUUGAGUGAGUUGGAGCGCAGCCAUCUUAUCCACUGAACUAGCUAGAAGCUAUCACUUUGGGUCAAAGCACUAAAAGAAAAGGACCGGGAAAUGCGGCGGCACGGGAACCACGGGACCCCCUACUAGUAAAGGGAAAAUGGAAGUGCGCUCCUGUGCACCAGCUAAAAAGGCCCUUUACCUUUUUAAUAAUAAUAAAUAAGGUAAGCUUUGUAGCUCCAACCUAGUCAAGGGGCUUUGAUGUUCUUUGUAUAUGUUGGGUUGCUAGAUACGGGAUCCUCGUAGUAGGCUGGACCAAGAUCUAACCGAGAGAGGGCAGUUUUUAGAAACAACUGGUUGGGAAAGCAAGAGAACACUUCACAUUUUCUUAUCUUCUUCCCGCCCUAGGAGUAGCACGAAAAGAGGGAUUAACAUUAUUGACCCAAUGAUAAAGCACUAACACCUUCCUCGUUGGGGCUCUGUGCACUGGGAAAAGGCUGACGCGAUGGGAAAUCGGCCACUAGUUACAAAGCUCCAAUAAGGUAUUCAGAGGGCUAUCACAGUCAGGUGCGAAUUUCUUACCUAAAUUUGGAAACUACCCCUAUUCCUAUUUAGGGAGUUGAGGCGAAAAAUGGCUUGAUGAACCGUUUGCCACGCACUAGCCACAUUCACUUGCUUAUUGUAGAGGCUGUAAGUACAUAGUGCCCCACAAGUAGGCUGAUUUUUCCAGAAUGCAGUUCGAGAUAACCAUAACCGUGUAUAUAUAGAAAUAUAUCUUUGAUGCUGUCAUUUCGAAAUGUCCGCUUCGCUCUUUCACCUCACAAAGAUCAAAGUUGUCUUGAUGAGCGCAGAUGAGGAAGAGGGAGCAAGAAAACCAAUAAUCUCUUUCUUGUCUUUCUACUUAAGGUUAAGGGGCAAAGAGAAGUGAUUUUGCUACUGAGAAAGCAAACGGUUAGCGCGAAGGUUCAAGACUUAGCCGAGCGUUAGUGAAGCUAGAUUCUCAUAGCGAGGUGCUUCGAGUUAGCGAAGUGUUGUAGUUGCGCCGAAGCCCUAUGUGCUAUAGUGCUGAGCCAAGGAUGCUCCGCCUUCUCUAUAGAAGCAGUCAACUGAGUUCUGAAUGAAUUAGCUCCUUGGUAAUGGCUUAAUCUAUAGAUAGAAAGCCCUAUGAUGGGAAACUACCAUGUUAGGUUUGGAGAGAGAUGGGACCGGUUAUAUAAUAGGGGAAGCAAAUGCAAGAUUUUUCUUUCAAUAGCCGGCCAAAUGACUACAGGAUCAUCGGUCUACUCUAUCUCUAUUCACCAUUUCAAACCUUAUACAGAAGAUUUUUCCAUACUAGCUCCUUCUAUCUAUACUGCAGCUGAAGCACCUAAAGGAGAAUUUGGUGUCUUUCUGGUCAGUAAUGGAAGCAAUCCUCCCUACCAUCGUAAAAUAAGAGCAUAUGGCUUUGCCCAUUCACAAGGAUUCGAUUCUAUGUCCAAACAUCACAUGCCAGCAGAUGUGGUCACCAUCAUUGGUACUCAAUAUAUUGUGUCUGGAGAAGUGGAUAGAUAGGACUACUAGUUGCUUGAUCAGGACCCUAUCUUUAUUGUGAGCUAAAAACCCAAUUUAUACUCCCUCUUUCUUUAAUUUUGGAGAUUCUAUCCAAUUAUCAGCCCCGAUACAGAAAGGAGUAAAGAAAGAAGAGUUGAAGACGGCUUAAUAGUAAGAGAACCCCCUCAUCUCAUGGCUAGGAACAUCUAUGUAGAUGGGAUUGGAUUCAUAGUGCCAGUUAGGGGUAGGUAUAAACCUUCAUUCAUCUUCUUCGAUCUUCCUUGGAAUAUCCAUCAUCUUGGUCUCGACCUUGUUGACCUCUCCCUGAUCGAAAGUUCCUAUUUUGCUGCCUCUUCGAUCAUCUCCGACUCCCUAAAUAAGAAGAUUGGUGACCUAUAUUGUCAGGGUCUUUCCUUACCUUAGCUGAGCCUUAUGUCCCUUCAACAUUCCUAUUCAUCUUGCCUUGUCUUGGGCACCGCAGUGGACUGAUUAUCCUAUAUAUAAUAUCUACUCUAAAGAUUAAGAGGAUAGAGGGUCUUCCUUCCAUAGAUUCGAUUGGGAUUGAUUCUCAGGAUCGAGCCCUUAUCAGAGGCGUGCCUACCGACACCUGUCAAAGUCUUCAGCUUGCACGACGUCUCCUUCCAUUUGCUCCAGCUAUGAAAGAAAAGAAUGGUCACAACACUUUAUUCUCUUCUACCGCUCUUUGUUUACUUCUGGCCUUCCCGAACUCCUACACGGGGGGAGUCAGAUCUUGGAGUAAGCUCCUUUCCAUGGGCAAUCUACUCAAGAGUUUAGGCCCCUAAUUCGGUCUAUGUCUGAGCUGCUCAAAAAUGUGGAUGCGAUCGGCCUCAGAGGAGAGGAGAGGCAACUUGGGAUUCUAGGCAAAGUGCUUUUUUUGUAUAUAGGCCUUCGUAUAGGAUAGGAUUUUCAUUCCUCCCGCCAAAGCUAGAAAAGAAAGGAGCUCUCUCUUUUUUCCAGCCUUCUUUUUAUUUUAAAGGCAUAUAGUGCGUUCUCGCUUUCAGGGGGAAUUCUUGGAAAAAUCUAGUACAAGGAGGAAGCGAGGGUGGGACAGGUGAAUCCGAUGUGAGGGAAGGAUUGCUACGUCAGUCAAAACUAGGGCUUAUGUAAUUGAAUCAGAAAUGCAUAUUUAAGAUAGGGAUGGAAGCAGACAGUCAAAGCAGGGAUUGAUCUAUUCCAAAACUACUAGGCAGGGACCUAUUCCUAAGCCAUUUUCAGUAGACAGACAGGGAAAAGGACUAAAAACAUUCUUCGUAAGAUGAGACCAAGCAUUAGAUGAAGCAUACUUUGUCCAUCUCGCAUAUCAACUUCCUCUCUCGAUAGCAUAAAGCCGCCCAACACAGAGAACAAACAUGGUCAGUAGGUAAUUAAUCUUCGUUUGGAUAGCAGUACGGUACACGCAUCAAGAUAUGAUAUUUGCUUUUCCAUCCGUGGCAUUCAAAAGAAAUGGGGAAGGGGAGAGUUAAAAGCACCCUGUAGAUAAAUAUCAAGAGCCUGUAGACCGGGGUUGAACCAUAUCCCCCUUCUGUUAAUCGAGAGAGUGACGAAGUAAACUGCAAAUACUGUGUAGUAAACUAAUGCUGUGAGGCAGAGAUAGCUGUACUUCUUGUUCUUUUUUCCCUUCAAUUCCUUAUCGCUUCUUUCAGGUCUCGCUACCCCUGACCAUAAGAAGAAUAAUAUACUAUAAGAGCGAGGUGCAAGUGCUGCAUAAAGUUCUGUUAUCCAUUGUUCAAGCCUUUCUUUAAGCAGAGUACUUUCUUUUCGGUCAUUGGCAAGCACAGAUGGGCUUUCACACCCGCUUAUGUUGUGGGUGGGAUGAAGGCAUCUAUCUUAUUAUAUGGAAGAAGAUCGUUAGAUGGUUAGCCGCUAGAACAAAACAAGAGGUGUUGUAUGGAGGUUACCAAGCAGAGGUGCAAAGCAAUUGAGAUAUAUAUAGAAUAGAUGGUAGGUUUCCAAGCCUCGCCUAGCACCAAAAGAGAAGGCUUUGUUCUGUAGGGUACGGCCCUGGACAGUGGAAAAAUAGAAUAAGAUGGAGCCUACCUACUUGGUUCGGACGAAGUAGAUAGAUCAAAGGAAUGAAAUCCAGGUGGUUCUUAUGCCACUUUUGAUGGUCUCGAAGAUAGAUGGAAAAGCAUUAGAUCGAUGGCCGGGGUAAUUUCCUUCCCACUCUGAGGCAUAUUGAUCUGGAUCCCUGGGAACAGGUCUUAGAGAAGUAGAUGGCUCGGCUCCACUGGGAGAUAGGAAACUAUAUGUGAAGUUAGAGGCAGAGGGACUUGUACUUGGCUAACCAUCAUAGGGAUGGUAUGUAGAUUGUUCGAUAGCUUACCCACGAAGAUGGAUUUUCUUAUGGUCGGCCACCAUAGUACUAAGACUGAAAGCCUACUAGGCAGUCUACACAGAAGGGAAGUCACCAAACAUGGGAAAGAGUACCUUUUUCUUCUCGAAGGAACCGCUACCAUAGGAUUGUUGACAAGGAUGCCUUAUUGUUUGGACUUUCAUUAAGGAUAGACCUAGGAUUGAAAGAGUCGCAAUAGAUGGAUAGCAUCUUCAAGGGAUUGAUGGCUUCUUCAGAAAAGGCUUAGCCUCUAAAAGAUGAGGACUUUUUCGGAAGGAUAGAGUCAUUGUAUUCCUGAGUACUGAUUCUCUUUUAUUAUGAUAUUCUAUUGAAUGAAGGCUACCUUCUUACUUGGCAGGAUGGGGUAGACAGAUAUAGUACGAUUGGAUUAAUGGAUGGUGCACUAUCCUUCUUCCAAUCAUUUCUCAGUAAAACCAAUGAGUACAACUUAUUAAAGGGAAACUACGAAAAAGAUCUUAGAGCUAGCUCUCUCAAUCAUCCACAGCUCCGGGAUUAAUGUGCUCUUUUUUAUGCUGGAGUCAUAGCUUAUCUAAAUUCUUAUUCCCACCCCUACAAGGUCUUUAAAUAAAAUGAAGAUAAGACGAUAACUUAUCGUCUGCAUCUAUAACUACUUCUAGUUUAUAUACACUGCUAAAAGGUUGAAUUCCAAAUAAUUAGGUUAGGGCAGGGUGGAGUUCCUCUUUAGCACUGUUCUUUUAGGUGUAGUUCCAUCUAAUCAAGGUAUAAAAGAAAAAUCAAAAGCCUGGUUAAGCUUCGAUGAGCUGCCUAUUGAUAUUCCUGACUUUUCCACUAUUGCUUAGUUCUGGGUAGAUGGGUUGGGCUUACCACACAGGUACGCCCGGGAAUCUGAGAGUGACCGACCUUGGCACUUUCACUCACUCAGUCCCCAACUAUAGUGUGCUCCCUACCCAAUGACUCUAUUCCUGAGCCCAUAAGCAUAAGCAGAAGGAUUGACCAAUCCCAGAUAAAGAUAGAUUGUGAACCAAGAAGAUCAAAAAGCAUUUUCAUUCCCUCUCUUUUCUCCCUGGAAACUAUACUGGGGAACUAAGCCUAAAUGAAAUGGUAGGUUUCAAUAUCUUUUUCCCUUCACCGACUCUUUAUCUUCAGCUUUAAUUACAAAGUAUUCUGCUUCUGAGAAAUUCUGCCUUUGAGCGAUGACUUUUGGAGCAGGAGUAAUAGGGCAAAACAAGCCUACACUGGCCACCAUCACCAUCCUUUCUUUAUUAGUUAGUGCCGGCUCUAGCUCUCUCAACAAAGAAAUCUCUGUCCUACUGAACGCAUCGGUCUUUCCAACUCGAUAUGUGAUCUCAAAAUCCUCAUUAUGAGGCGGUCAAUGGAAUGAAACGGUCGGAUACUAAUCCUAGGUUCACGAAUUCAAAGAAAUCAAACUGACUUACUGUCCUCGGAGACAUUUCAAAGGUCUUUGAUAGAGUUCAAUCAGCCCUUUUCCACAGUUAGAGGAGUGGCCAAAGGAAAAGAAUCAAGCAUAUCUAUAUGAGGCAAGAGAUCUAGGGCAUAUUUCUGCUGACGAAGGAUAAGAGUGCGCCCCUGCCGAUACACUUCCAUACCAAGAAAUUCGUGGAGAAGGCCCGACAUCUUUCAUAUUUUAAUGAGUAUGCAAGAACGAAAGAAGAGCAAGUAUUCCCUGUUGAUCACUACCUGUGAGAAAAAUAUCAUCGACAUAUAAAAGAAGGUAGAUACUAUCCCGAGAUGUGUGACGAAUGAAUAAAGAGGUAUCAUAGUGGGGCCUGUCUUCUAUCCGGUUCUUGGGUCCGAUUGAGCCUCUUUGAAAUUACAUCCCUGACUCUCGUCUAACUCGAAUUGCCCCACUCCUUUGGCAGUUAAAGUAGCUCACUUCAACAAGUAAGAUUAUAUCCCUAGGGGUAUGUUACGAGCAGAAGUUCUCUUGCUAGUGGAAAUAAGAGUAGCAAGGUUAGGACCACAUAUAAAUAGAAUAGGGGAAAGAAAUUUGAUUCCUUAGAAGUUUGUCCGGUUGGGAAAGCCAGAACUCUUGUAAACCAGCUUAAUAAAGGGUAGUGGUAGGGACAGUCUCAGUACCACUUUCAGUGUGAUAGUCUUUCAUUGCAACUUAGAUUGCACGAUCAAGAUCAAAGUGUCCGUUCGGUAAGUCAGCCAGUCGUCCUCUUAUCUUGAACGAGCAUCAUUGUCCCCAUCACUUUCUCGUCCUCAACCUCUAGAGGAGUGGAAGAGACUUCUUUGUCCUUCUUGUUUUGACUUUUACUCUGACUUCUUCUUAUCUAAGCAUUUGCUUGGGCCUACAAAACCUCGGAUGAGCGGGGAAUAUCAUAAACUCAAAGAAGACCCGGGUCAGCCGACCUAGAAGAAAACACAAAUAGAGAUAGGUCAACUGAUUAAUAGGUAUACUUGUUAACAGACACAGACAAAGGUACAUAAGGAAUCACAUCAUCACCUCCUUCUUGGUUUUGGGCUUUAUUAGCCUCAGCUGAGGCCUCUAUUUGAUCAGUCCUGUCUUUCGGUGCUUGCCUUUUCUUUGUUGAAUAAAGAUCUUCAUCGAUCUCCACUAUGGUUGUCACUCUUAUAGGAUAGGGAGAAUUUAUGUAUUACGAGAAUGUCAUCAAAGUAGGAUCGCUAGUGGGAUAGUCCAGUGGUACUCCUUGCCUCUGUUGACCCAAUUAACCAAUGGGGACCGACAGACAGCUUGCUUAGUAAAGUCUUUUAUCUUUCAUUCAGGGGUCAUGAAUGAUUAAGAGAAACGAAGGGUGACUGCAACGAACUAGAAUUUGGGACCAGUCUUGUAGCGAAUAAAGGAAAAAGGUCCUGGUAGGGGUCAGCAGCAUCGGGAGGUGAAGGUGAACAACAAGGACUAUCUCUCAUAGCUGAUAUCCCACCCUUCUUCCAUAAGGAUGGAUUCGGGCUUAAUCCAACUCGACCAACGGGGGAGGAUAACUCCAUUUCAAUAAUAGGAGCAUAACCUACUACUAAUGUAUGUAGACCAAGGACUUUCCAUUUCAAUGGGAUUCUCAUCUCCAGUUCUUUCCCACCAGCUCGUUCUUUACUAGGCAUCUAGGCGAACCCACCGGGUUAAUUAACUCAACAUAAAGAAAGCUCAUUAGAUCAAAACUAGGGGAGUGCUUACUAAUAGCGAAAGGUUAACAUCUCUCCACCCUUAUUAGUAGUAGCGAACAUCAGGUAACUUCGUGCUGUAAAAUGAUAGAUUGGUAAUGAAAGGCAAUGUACUAAGAAAGUACAACUCUAUUAGACCUUUAUCUGGAAAAAGCUGGAAGAAAGGCGAGAAACAAAGGUUGCCUACUACUAAUAAGGGCGGGUAAGAAAGAGAGGUGAGGUGACUAGCUUUGUAACUUUAUUCAAUCUAAAAGGUUGGAUCAGUACCCUAUCCGCCUUUAAGUGAAGGGGCGUAUCCACCGAAGAUGGCAACGGGAAAGAUGGGAGCACGAACGAGGUAGCUUAUGCUUUUUUUCAUCCUCACUACCUGGUUUAUAGAAGAAUAUGAAGAAUAUGAACUUUUCGCAUUCUUAUGUUUGGUAUGUUGUUAUGAGAAGCUCUGGUGCUAAAUCUUAGGUCUGAGGUAUGGGUCGAAUCAUGAUAAAGAAGGUUCGGUGGUUUUAUAAUUCCCAAGCGGAAAGUCGUAUACUUUCAAAGUAGAUGGAGUGAUCAAGAGGACCUUCUUGUGCCAACAUACAUCCAAUAGCAUAGAGUGAUGUGUCAGUAUGAACAUGGAACUCCUUAUUCCAAUCCAGAAACUGAAGGAUUGGGGAUGACAGCAAACACUCAUCUACAUGCUUCAAGGCUUAAUCCUGUUCUGGUUCCCAAGCCUUAUACCUUUUUUCUGCAAUGAUUUUAUUCUGGGAUUCUGCACUUUGAAAAGUCUUUUUUGAUGUAUCCGUAAUAGCCUAUGUGUCCCAAAAAAGAAUGUGCUACGCCCGGCCCCCUUUUCAGUAGAUGAGAUUAGGAAGAAAGCCCGACUUCGAAGCUCAGCUUAGCCCAAGACUUGGGAAUAGAGCGAAGGAAAGGUUAAUAUUACUAUAUUAUUUCUUCCCUCUUCUUCCUCCCUGACUUCAUACUCGCUCUAACCCAAUAAAAAGGGCAGAUUUCCAUUUGGUGGGUGGGUCUAGGGCAAACGAAAGUGAUGUGUAGCAGAGGGCAGGUGAGGCAUUGUGUCGUCGAACAGAAAGAAAUUUGCACUUCCAUUUCUUAGUAGGAGUGCUCCUUUGUUAGCAGGACAUUUCGUGCAAGAACUAGGUUUGAGUUAGUGCACUAACUAGGUUGUUUUUUCUCACCUAAUGGCUCUAUCUCUGAGGUAACCCAGACUAGUAGCAACCGAUUCUAGUAAAUGACGAUAUUGUUUCAUAGAAUUAGUUGUCCUUUCUCUCCCCUUUCUUCUAGAGGAAUUGAGUCAUUCAUUUCGGUCUAACUUCGUUACUGUACCUCGGUCUCACUCCGACAGCAUACUAUCCUAGACCUCUGUCUAUUCCGACAUUGAUAGAAAUUCAUAGUUAGGUUAGCCAGCCCGGUAACCCAGACAAGUGGGAGGCUCUGCACUUUCCCUAUCAUACGAUUCUGCCAGACUAUUCUAUUUCAUUCAUUCUCCAUUCCAUCUACUCCGGGAACCCAUAAUCUGAUGAUUCUUUCACAUAUGAUCUUUUUUGUGAAUUUGACAUCGGUGAUCUACGACCAUCCUUUCUUCUUUCCAUUCCAAAAAGGAAUAGUUGGCUGAUAGGUGCCCAACCCAGGCCGGGACAUCAUUCUUUUCUCCUCCUCUAGCUACUGGUGAGGGGCAAUCAACUGAUCCCUGGAACCACAUUUGUUGAUACGUAUAUGGAUAGAUAAAUAGCGAUUCUUCCUCUCGAUGAUGAGGGACAGAAAGAGAAUCCUCUUUCAUCGGAAUAUCCAAUUCAAAGGUAAGAGAUGAAGAGAUAAUAAGUUUAUUUUGGGUCACAGAAAGGAUUGGAUCAAAGGAGAAAGGUUAGGCACUUCCUAAAAUCAUUUCAAUAAGAGAUUGCUUCUUGCAUCAACACUAAUUCAACUAUUUCAUUGAUCCAAGGAUGAAUUUCCCUUAGCCCAUAAGCUAUAAGCUAGAAAGCCAAAAUUUAGUCAACAAGUAUGGAUUUUUAGACUGGCAUCUUAGAAUAAGAAAGGAUUGUUCCUGAUCUAGAAUUUGCAACACAACAUAAGUAGAAGCAUGCUAUGCUAGCAUAGAAUAGUUGUACCGAGUGAAAACUUCUUUUCUUAGGAUCAACAGUAUAAAGAUAUUCUUUGUCGUAACAAGCCUUUCCUUUCUUCAUAAAGGAAGAGAACCGAAAAGCUUUGAUGUGAGAAAAGUCAGUCUAUAAAGACGGAGUAAUUCUCUCUCUUCUACCUAUCGCUUUAUCUAAGCUCCAGUUAACCCAAUGUAAGACAGAGGGAUCUAUAACUAGACUGACUCUUCUCUUUCCAAAAGUGAAAUGCUUCUUUUAUGCCAUUAUCUUCCUGCCAAACCUACUAGUUCGAUCCAACCCAGCGGAUUUAGAGCAAGAAAUGCAUACUUUCAGAAUAAGCCUAUCAUCUUGAAAUAGUUCCAACCUAUUCUAAGAUGAUGAUUCGAAGAGCAGAUUAACCGUAAGAAGAUGACUAAUUGUCUUUGUAAACCACUGAUUCAAGGACUAGUUGAAUUACGGCUAUUCUCACUAGUCUUUAUUUCCCUUCUCAUCCAGCUUGAGAUCGGUUCUUACGUCGAGCGGGUUACAAGCUUUAAGAAAGCACUACUGGGCCCACGGUUUCUCAAAGCCGAGAGGCUAAAGAAAAAGUCAAGUCCAUCAACUGUUGAAGAGAAGAAGGAAAUGUCUCUUGUUCCUUAUUCUUAUACAGUUGGUAGUUUGAUGUAUGCCAGGGUUUGCACUAGGCCAGAUAUUGCACGGUACUGUUAGUAGCUUUCUUUCUAAUCUAGGAAAGCUGGCCCUUGGGCCACUUGACUGGUUGGAGAGGAGCUUCGCUCUCUUCUUUUCUUUUAUAUAAUAUCCUCUACCACUGCUAAAGGAAAUGGUUCUUAGGUCGGUGAAACUUUCACCAAAGCCAAACUCGUGACAAGGAAUUUUUGGCCAUAUCCAUUGGUCUUGCUGUUACGGUUUAGGGCGCUCCAGAAAAGAUGACUAUGCACCUUCCCUUUACUGGUUAUCAUACCAAUUAGCAGAGCGAGUACCCGAGACGAACAGAGAACUAAGUCAAAAGAAAUCCAGUUAGUCCUAAAGUCUUGGAAGUGGGUUAUGGGGUUGAAAGUGUCGAACCAUUCUCAUAUCGUGUAAGUAGGGUCAUCGCCUUAUAAGACCUUUGUAAGGAAGGGAAAGGAGGGAGAAUAAGGGAAGGUGCCAAGUAGCUGAUUGCACAUUACUCAGGCAAGGAAUAAGACGUUUGAGAAGGGAUGCCGAAAAAAGGCUUCAAUUAUUUCUGGUGCAAAGUCAGUAGUACUAGGGCCUUCGAGAUGGAAUUUCCAACUAUAAACAAGUGUAGUAAAGUCACCUCCAUUCUCGAUUUCUAUUGCGACAGAGGGAGGUCUCAUAAUAGAGUCAGUGCUAGUCUUGGGAUCAAGGCUUCUUUCCUUCGCUGAAUCAGGAAUAGCCGACUCCAGGUAAUACCAGCUCAAAGGCGAUGACUAGUAGAUCCCUUUUUCCUGGCUAUAUGAUAUCAUAUCAGACAGAAUAGACCGAGCCAAAGAGCACUAACUAGGAGUGAAGGUUCCAGAAGUGAGCAGAAAGAAAGGGAGUAAGUGCACCGCAAGACCAGAGAAGGCAACUUGUGAAGUGACCUUCACUCGGGAACGGAUUUGAUAGGGCCGCGAGAAGCCUUGUUUUUUUCUUUCUCUUGCGUCCGGCUAUUCCUGCUUUUUAGUCUUUGGUUAGAUGGGAGAAUCACUGUAGAUAGCGAUAGAAGAUGAAGUACACAAAGUGGUCUUAGCAUGAAGGGUGGAUGUGGGAAUAUCCACUCAUUCGAUAUACGACUUCAAAAGUUUACACGUACGAAAUAGCCUAGGAAAAAAGAAUUGAAAGCAUCGAAGCACUAGCAGACCCAAAAGCUAGCAUAGAAAAUAGGGAGCAUUGCGCCUUAGCCGACUUCCAAGGCUUGUUAGGCUUGGCGAAUGCGGACGAAGAGCUUUCUCAGACUUCCAAAACAUAGGAGUACGGUCAUAGAACGAGUCCCGAACCCAAAUCGGUCAAAGGUCAAAGAUAGACCUGCCAUACUCUAAUUCAAAAUCUAAGUUCCCAGGCUAUUAAUAAAGAGAAGAAGGAAAAUUGAUCAUAACAGCACUUCCUAUAGUGGAAUUGGAAUCAACGGAUUCUUUGACUCAGGCUUCAGGGGGAGGAAGCUUAGUAUAAAUCUUAGUUGAAAGAAACUAGGCCUAAGACCAUAGAAGGAGGAUUUCUUAUAUAAUAUAAGCUAUACAUAGACGAAAGUAGCAUUCAGGCAUCCUCUCAUUGAGGAGGUCUUAGAUAGAAGAUGAGUCAUCUCUUAUAAUGUGGAAGUAUAACAAUAGAAGCAGUUAUUGCCCCAUACCCAUGAGCAUUGGCGUGAGCAGCUAAGCUAAGGUUGGAAAGGAAGAAUGGGUGGCUACCUAUUUCCUCAGUCGAUAAGAGAAUCUUUCUUCAGCACAGAUCAAGGUUUGUUGAAGAUAAGUAUCAAGUCCUCUAUCACUGGAAUUUCAAAUAUUGAGGAGUGGCAACUCUGAAUAAAUUACAGAACCUACUCCUGGGUAGUCUUUGACUACCUCUUUCCUCUGUCUCGGCUAGCUCUCCUACCUGGGAUCCCUUCUACUCGGAGAGCUGCCACUCAAGACUGUUGGAUCACUCAUCAAUGUCAUAACCUUCAAAUUAUGGAGCCAAUGCUAACUUGGCUAACACUGAGACUGAGAGAAAAAGGGUUUUUGAUGGCAUUCCCAGCCUACGAGGUUAUGAACUAAACUCCCUCGCAAGUGCCAUGUCAUGGAACUUAUUUUCUUCUUUGUACGAGUCUAUAAAGGCCUUUGCCUUUGAAAAAAGAAGCUGCUACAGACAGAAUAGGCUGCUCUCGGCUGCCAAUGAGGCAUUCCCUUCACCCUAUUCGGGGUCUGCUCUCACCCCUAAAACUUUUGUCAAGUGGUUGUUUGGCCCCUUCUUAUUCGGCCGUCAAUGAACAUGGCGACGUAUAUAAGGAGAUGAAGGAGAUCGUAUUCCCUUACUCGUCCAUUCAAUUAAUCCUUCGCUUAGCUAUUCGAAUCAAUAAUGGAAUAGGAAUAGGUGUGGUAACUACGUUUUGUGCCCUUCACCCCCUCUCCAUUUCUUUGGCUUCAACGUUAAUCGGAAAAGCCCAAGAGAUGAGGAAUCUAAGGAACAUUUGUCACUCGAAAUGAGUUGAACAUAUAAGGAAUCUGAGGAUUCAUUGAACUCAGUUCAACUCAUUUAGUAAGACGAAUCCUCAUAUUAGGAGGCUAAGAGCUUUGGCUCUUAGUUUUCUUCCUUGAUUCCGUCCCUUGGCACCGCUCUUUGGUACUUCAACUGUCUACCUGAUUAUCGUCCCGGAACCUGGGGUCAAUCAGCCCAGUCCUUUUGAUUUAUAUAAGGAUUGCUUGAGUUUGUUGGAGUAUCUUUCUCCUCCUUUCUGACCAACUACUACCUGGUUCUAUCAAACCAUACUAUUUCACUCCUGGAAUUCCCUGAUAAAGAACUCCAUUUCUAUACCUGAGGCUAGCUACUAGCUCAGACUCCGGCUUCUGAGUGUGGCCAAGUGGUAAGUCCUUUCUUUUCUGUCUGAGAAUAUGUCUUCUCUUCUGAGGUGGCAUGAGACAAUCAGUGAGUUUCAGGUGGCUUUAGUCUUUUGAAUAUUCCUGAAAUGGAUCGAGUCUCUAGUAGUUCUAGGUGGCUAGAUACCAACGCUAACAUUCCUAUUUCAAAUUCUAAAGUACACAAAAAUCUUUGACAUGAGGUACGCAGUUGCUCAAAGAGAACACUUUCAAUCUUUCUUCAUGAAAGCCAGGCAGUGGAGAUAGAGUCCAAGCAUACUAUCGCACUGCAGGGAAAGAAAGAAAAUCAAUUUCUUAUUGUGGAGGGACAUUUAGCCACAAAUGCGAGGUUCUGACGGUGUUGAUGACCCUCCUUUUAGUAAAGCUUAGGGGGGUGAAAAGUGGAAGAGAGAGGUCGGACCUACAAGGAUAAGAAGGCUCUCCUUCCACUUUAUUUAUUUGACAGAGGCAGACUGAAUCGUGUGCGAGAAUCUUUUAAAACAACAAACCGACCUGUACCCUUUUCUCUGAAGGCAGGACUUGAAUAAUGAAGUAAAAGGCUUGACUUUCAUGUUAGGCGGGCUUACUUGAAAGACUCGCUUUACUGAAAAGACAGAUGAAUGUCGUCGAGCAACUCAUUCAUUGGUUCGUGUAAAAGCUUGUAAAAGAUACGGUGAAAACAUUCUUUCAACUGCUUAAAACAGGCAUUUAGACAAUGCCCAUUUCCUCAUGGGUGAUCACUCGCUCUUUAUCUAGUAAUCCAAUAUGGUUUGAAGCGCUAGACGAAUUUAGAGUCUAUAUGGACUCAACAUUGCCUCUCUGAGUUAGAUUCCGAACAAAGUUUUUUGAGUGGAUCCAUUCUCUUCCUUUUUUGCAACCUUUUUCUAUUAAGUAAAAUGAAGUCAAAAUAGAUGGAAUCGAAGCUCCAUAAUCUCAUUCAUUCUCUUUGCCAGUUCAGUGCUACCCUUCACUCGCUUCGUCGUCAUGAUUGAGAGAACUUACAAUGUCCAGAUAAAAGGCGAGAUCAGCUCAUCGACUCAAUAACUGAAUCCUCUCGAAAGAGUGGAAAGCAUCAUAAAGAGGGGUUGCUGGUUCGCGUGCUACGGCUUGAUGUCUACGCACGAUAUCGCUUUCCUCAGCUAGCUCAUAGGUCACGACUUCAAGGUCUUUAGUUAAUGACCCAUAAGCAAAUCAAUCAAAAAAAACCUAUUUAUUUGGUAGGCCAACAAGGCAAGGCCCAGAAAAAUGAGCAAAAGAAGAUGCGCUCUGUCCAGCCAAGGGACUACUCUAAGCACAAAGCUCCUGUUUCUCCCUUAGAGAACGCAUCGAUUGACUUCGUUCCCCAAAUCUCAUUUCUGGCUGUCACCCCCCACCUCGUGUACGGAUUAGCCACCGCCCCCCAUUAGUGGGAUGGGCAUAACCAAACUAUUGUUUAGCCGGUGAAUCUUUCACUCUACCUCCUCUUAUUAAGACCAUAGAAUGUUCCUACAAAUAUAUCAAAAGAAUACCAAAAAGUUUGAAUUCACAGCUAAUAACAUUCAUUCAAGUCCCCGACCGCCCCAUCUUUUCGAUCUUUUUCUAGAAGUGGGGAUCAUGAAGUUUUGUCAGGGCAAUGAAAUUGGAAUUCAAACGUCAGGGCUUAACAGCGCCUUUAGCAAAUAAAUAGUGAACCGCCCUGACCAAGUCGUCAAUAAAAAUAUUCCAACAGUGAUAAUAAAAAAGACCUGGGAAUUAAAAAUUUGUAAGGAUAGGGGAGUCACAAUCCCCAACCAAGGGAGUGGUUACGUUCACUAUGUCCCCCUUAUUCCGCACAUGCUAUGGUGCCCUCGGGCUGUCUCGCGAAGAUCUUCAAUCCGAACCUUUGUAUCUACUCUCUCUUAGAGGAUGAACCACGCCUUCGCUAUCGCAAGACUAUAGCGAUUGAAGAGCUAUGGCUCAGCUGCUUCGCGUAUUACACCGUAUUGCCCAAAGGUGGCAUGCUACAAGAGCGUAAGUGAGUGAUAAGCAUAGGAGCCAUGCCCAAAGGGCAGCGGCAGCAGUGUGGUUCCCGUCGCGUCAUUGAGAGUGGCGGGUACUUCGACUGCCUUGUAUCAGGUGAAGAGAAGAGGGUGGUAGGCUUAGUAGGGCUCGAACCUACAAUAUCACCGUUAUGAGCGGUACGUUUCAACCAAUUAAACUAUAAGCCCCUACGGAUCUCUACAUGCAAUUCGCUCACUUUGGGAAAAGCGGACGAAAAGAGAAGGCCUUUGUCCUAUCUGCUUCUUCCUCUUCCCAGGAAUGAAGAAUUUUUGAAAAAAAAAAAGAUUUUCCUAUUUUUUUUGUUUAUAGAUUAUUUAUUAUUAUUAUUAUAUAAAUAAUAUUAAGAAUAAUAUUAAGCAAGCGACCCUUUCGCGACUCAAAUAGCCGGUACGCUUUCCAGCUCAAACGGGCGGGGGAUUUUUAUUUGCUUGCAAUGCCGGCUGUUCUCCUUUAGUUAGAAGUUGAAGUAGAGAGUGCCGUUUGCCCCACACUUCAGAAAAAGUCAAAAAGUAUGGAUGAAGUAAAAAAAGUACAUAAGGAGUAAGAAAGAAAAACUUGGUUACGGGAACCGAAGGUUAGGCCGACUACUUUAGUAGAGCAAGACCUAAAAAAGUUUAUUCCUACCCCUUACCCUUUCUUUCAAUAUUGCCAAUUCCCAGAAUACUAAUGUACCCUCAUGUAUACAGUUGUCCAACUACUUUCUUCCUCCGACUUCUUUAGCGACUUCUGCAUCUGUCGUAUUCGGGAAAGCAUGCUUCGUGGCAGAGCAUUUAGCAAUGCCAGCAGCCUGGUGAGGGCUGGCUGUCUGAGGAUAGGUUAAGGCAGGGCCUGCUGGGCUUGCUUCUCAUGAGAAUGGGUGAGGGUAUUCUGCCUAAAUAGUAGACACAGGUAAGAAAUAAGAGAAUAGUAAUGAUCCGAGCCAUAGAAUUUCUCAAUUCUAACACAAGGUACUUAUUAGAUCGAAUGUACUUCUUAGAUCUAAUAGAAUGAUUUUUCCAUAUCCAAACUAAUACCAAUCCAAGCCAUUUCAUGAAUAAAAUGUGACCACUAAAUUAAGCAACCAACAAAACUACUUGUUACAAAUAAGAUCUUGUUGUUGCAUCGAAAGAGAUAAAUGUUGACUAAUCUGGCUAACAUUGAACUUGGUAAAAUGAAAUGGUUGAAUAAUUGAAAAAUGAGUUAUUCAGGAAUGCACAUUGAAUGCUUAUAUUACGCAUUGAAUUUCUGGUAGUAGAUCCAUAAUUAAAAAAGUAUUUGUGAUUGUUCAAGAAGAAAUAAAACAAAAGAUAUGGUAGAGCUAGGACAAUUAUUGUAUGAGGUCUAACCAAUGCUAGAUGCAGAGGCGCAUAAUAGAUCGAUAUGAAUAUCAUGAGCUGUCUCGUAAUAAAACUAGUUGUUGCUGAUACCUUCUUCUCGGUUCCUUCUUCCAUAACCAGAGCUCGAAGAAAAGGAAGCCUCAUAGACUGAAGCCUCUAUUCAGUUCUUGCUCUGGUUGGUUUACGAAUCAAAGGAGACUAACAAACUACAAUAAAGUAAGUGCACCGGUCGGAUUGACUAAACCAAUGCAACAAUCAAGAAGGCGAUCAAGAAGACAUGAGUUCCCAAACUGUAGUAUAAGUCUUUAUCGCAGAUGUGAGCUUCCCCUCAUCUUACUUCCCGCCACAAAGACAAUAAGAGAAGGAAACCUCUAACAAUAAAAAAGAUGUACUACAACCGCAUACACAUACCCUCGAUACAAAGUAAGAAAGAAAGCAGUCCUCGCCCCGGGUGAGCCCAGAAGUCAAGCAAGAAUCGACUUCACACACUAAGAAUAUUAUCAUUAUCUAAGAAAGAGCUUAAAAGAUCAAAUAAGAUGAAGGAUUUUCCUUUUUUCAUACUACGACAUUGACUAAGCUAAGAGAAAGAUUUAGGACUGACGGAGAUACUGAGUCAAGCACUAUAGCACAAGGAUUAUCAUUCGCUUGCCUCGAAGAUUCAAAGCAAAAGAAACCUUCUCCGCUACGGGGGAAGAAAAGAAUAGACUGGGGUACGGAUUGACUUACUAUUUGAUUCGAAGUGGAUGACUACCUAGAUUAGAGUGAGGAUUCAAUAUUUCAUGAUAGUUAUCAUGGAUUGAAAAGGGACGGUCCAAUAGCAACGCAGAAGUUUAAUAAAAAGGUGCCUUGAACAGGCGGGGAAAAGACGUUUAAAGCGGAGGGAAAACCAAUCUCAGAAGGGAAAUUCGGAUGAAAGGGAAAAUUCCUAUGAUUCUUGGUUAGCUGACUAAGAGCGGAUGGGGCGGGCAAGGAGAGCGGCAUUGCUAUAGGUUCGAUUCAUCAAUGUCAGUAUCUCAGUCACAGAUCGAUGUUGUCCUAAAAAUACCCCUUUGUUUUUACUCAACUAUAUCCGUAAUAUCAGGAUUUCAACCGAGCGAUCAUUCUUAUGGAUCUCGAUAUGUUUGGAUAACUAUGAUGGAAUAGAGCCAUUCUAAGUAGAACCCCUUCUUAUGAUAUGUCAGAUAGAGCAGGAUCAAACAUGUAAUAACCCCCAGCCCUUUCCUUACGAUGAUUCAUGCCUUGCUCGUGCCGUAAGAAUGUCAUAUGCAAAUGAAUUCACUUUUGGUAUAGAAUAAAUGGGCGAAAGCCCGAUGCAGCAACUUGCGAGGGGUUGUGCUUUGCUACUUGCUAAGGUUUCCAUCUAUUGUAUUUAUCUACAUUGGAAUGAAUUUGUCCAUCAAACCCGCCAUUUGUAUGAACCCGAACAUAUUCAAUCGACCUUCGGUGUAAGCGACUUCGUACUGCUAUAGGCUCUAGUUAGGACUUAGAUAUGAACACCCCCCUUCGUUAGAAUCCACCCUAAAGUUUCUUAGUAAACAGGGAUCGUUUAGUGAGCAACACUUCCUCGUAGGGUCACCAAAGCAGGCUUCUUUAGCUGCUUAAAUUGUUAGAGCUCACUUCACACUAACAGAAUUGUAAGCUUUCUUCUCUGCCUCAGCUUGAGAGCUCCUUUCUACAUCAAGAUCUGGCCCUCAAUCGACUUCGGCUAUGGUAUGAUUCCUGGCAUAUGUACACCAUAGUAGCUAAGGUAACCCCGUUCCAGCUCGCAUUGUAUUUGAAGUUGAGGAUUUCGCUUUUGAUGUAGUCAGUAAGAAGCGUUGUUCCAUUUUUCGCUUUAGCAAGCCUGUGACUGAUUGAAUAGACUAGUCUACGCUCAGCCAACAUUCUGAACUUGUCUCGAUACAGACAGUUUAGUGGAUUGGAUAGCAGAGAGAGAAAGGAAAAGAAGUAGUUCCAAAAGGAGACUCCACCUAGCUAGCGCGCUCCUCACCUCAAUGCUACACUUCGGCAGCUACGAACUAAGAUGCUUCAGAAGAAAAGCUACAUCCACUACCUGCAUUCACCCUUGCAGGCUAACCCGAGCAUACCCAGGGCCUUACUGCCCGAACUAGCAAGACUAAUGUCUAUUUAUACCUUUGAGAGGUCCACUUAUACUAUUGAUAAAGUCUCUAAAUUAAUAAGGCCCCGGUUGUGUUGUUAUAAAAGAAUCAAUUCAAUCUAACAAGCAGACUACCUUCGGCUACUACAAGAUCUUUAUAAACCAAAGAAUGAGCCUACUUACGCACUUCCGCACUAAGUAAGAAAGGCCAACUACACAUGCAAGAAGGCAUUGCCUACGGCUUCCAAUCCAAUAACAAGCAAAAGACGAAGAAGUAACUUACUAUACCUUACCUCCUUGUGCCCAUAGCUUGACCUCCGUCUUUUUAUACCUGUACGGAUGCCUUCCCUUCCUUGUAAAGCAAACCUAGUCAAGCAAUGGAAGGAGAAAGGAAAAAGACUUUCCUCGCGCACAGACAGACCCUCUUUAGCGAAGUUCCUCCCUCUCAUACAGUAUCCAUUUCAUCAAAGAAGGACAGAGUAGGCACACUGACUACUCUGAUUAGGCGUGGACUGGGAAAAACUAGCAGCUAAAGGAAAGCUAAAAGGUAUUGACAAAGAAGUAAUGGAGGAUCUGAUAUAGAUUAAAAAGAGGGAAAGCUAAGCUAGCUAACGAAGGGGUUGGGAUUCUAUCGCCCUAGUACACAACUAGGAAGAAAGAUUUUGUGCUUUUCACCUUUCCACGAAACCAGAAUGAGAGACAAUUGGGUCGAUCAGAAUGUCCUUAUUUCACAACAGUAUAACAUUCUCAAGUUAGAAUCUGACUAUCUCUAUUCUAAGUAGCAUCCGAGAAAGCACACGCUAAGCAGAUCUUUACCAAAGCCAUAUCUCCAUAAAUAUCCAAAGCUGCCUACUCAUUGGUAGUGAAAAAGCAAGAACGUAGAUAUGUUACGAAGCCAAGAGCCACUCAUCUGAGCCAGCGGAUUCGAAUUCAGCUAUGCCGGUGCGCUAAGCAAGCACGCAAGGACUGCGUAUAUCUUUGGUCUGCCUAUCAUUGUCCAUGUUGGGCUGACUCAACCUCCCCUCGGGUAUAAAAUGUUCGGUGCCUCGCCCUUGUCUCCUUCGCCGUAGACUGAAAUGAUGGGAAUCCUAUCAAGAAAGAAGAGGCAUAAGCAUCACCUGUCGAUCCAAUCUAUCUUCCCUGGCCUCCCCAACACACACUUAAUUUGAAAGAAACCUCCCGCCAUAGAGAAGAGAUUGAAAGUUUGGGUCCCCUCGAUCACCCUCCCUCUCCCUGUAGUUCAAGCUUCCGUUUCAUCCCUCUCACUUUGUUCGAGCUGAAUUACAUCUUCCUUCUCACCUGAACUAGUCAAGAGAGAUGAACCCGUAUCACAUUUUUUCAAAUCAAAAGCCCCAAUUCCAAAACCUAAACAACUCAGUUGAGAUCUCCGUGACUGGUUCAAAGGAAGGUCAACCAAUGAUUGAUAGGCCAUUCCCUCCCUAUCCAUCUCUUGAUCCCUCAUUCCACUAAUUCAUUAUUACUGAUUCAUUCAAGGGAUAGACUCUCUAUUUCUUUGUCUUAUUAGUGCAGGUGUUCAUCAACGAUGAAACCCACUGAACUUUAGACUCGAGUGGAGAAAGAGGGCUAAGCCACUGAAGGGCUUUCAGGGACUGGGGAAGACGGGUGGAUUAUAGAGCUAGGGUAGAGGCAAAUCAAAGGCCCAUCAGGAUUGUGCAUGGACGAGCCUCGACUAGGCUAGCAUUGAUGAAAAAAGAAAAACUUCCCCCAUCUCAUCAUUAACUGAUGUAGGAUUCAAGAUCAGGUAUAGGAUUCGAGUUAAAUCGACUUUUCCUCUAAUAUCUGGGCAAGGCAGUAGGAAGUUUGACUAGUUGCUCCUCUAACUCGGAGUGGAUUCUAGGGGAAGGGUAGCGCCUCACCUUUCAGUAGGAAGGUGUUCGUUGGUGGGAUGGGUUCAAAACUGGAUUAAAGAGAGGAGGAAAAAAAGAGUCCUUUCUUCCUGGUCCUAUCGAACUAGACACUGAAUACCUAGGGAUGGCUAGGGCUUUCGAAUCAAAGCAUGGGCAUCUGCUAUUAAGAGAGAGCAGUAGAUCAUCGAUUGAAGAGCCAGGUCAGUCAAAUUCUAUUGGGACUUCUAUUGAUUAUUAAUUCGACUCUAGGGACUCCUAGCAACAAACUAGUAUAAAAAAGGGGCCCCCAUAGAGAGGCAAGAGAUGCAGAAGCCGCCAUCCGGAUCGACCAACAAAUGAUAGGCCAAAGAGAUGGGCUCAUUCGACUAAUCAGUGAUCCCUGGGCCUACCUAACACAGAUGUCCCUAAAAUAGGGGAUUGGUUGAUCAAAAAGCUUAGGCAGGAGUAGGACAUUCCAUACAAAUCUUUCUGAUCCACUAGCUGGUGGUCCUCUCGAACCAGUCAAGUGGCUCUCCAUCUCUAGGAAGAUUGUGUCCAAUAUCUGGUAAUCUAAGCCUUUCUUUUUUUGGUCGGCUCGUAUUAGCCUGUGCUUUAUUAUAGGUAGUCAUUCCCCCAUUCCUUUAUUCUUUUCAAGGGUACUUUUUCCUUAAGUCGUGGUCAUGUCUUGCCCCCCCAGUAUAGUGACCGCUUCCAUGUUUUCCCCGAAUUUCAUCAGUUCCAGGCUCAAGUGCCUGUUCAUCCAUCUUCAUUCCAAACAAAGGCGAACAUCUCCAUUGAGUGACUGUAACUGCUAUGGUUUACAGUCAAUAGUUCUUAACCAACCCUUUCUUUUUUGAAUUAUGUUUGUUUAUUAAUUCAUUCAUUAUUCUAUUAUGUCUUUCUUUCUGAAGGGCUUGCAAUUUAUUAUACCAAAGGCCUUCAGUGAACUAUUGAAGCUAUCGAGAGUGUACCAAAUGCUAACGGUGAUGAAGUUUACUGACUUUCGGUGGAUGCGGAGCCAAUGAGUUCGGUCAAAUAGUGUAACUAGUCUAAGGUUACCAAAGCCUUCGCCAACUUUGAUAGGCAUAGCAUUGCAAGCAAAUAAAGCAUAGAGCUUACCCUUUCUUUCUAUUAGAGUCGUGAGCUUGUUGUAGUCGGUCCUAAGGGGAGAACCUUGCUGCUUACUUGUUAUAUCCCUAAGUCCUUGCACGGCUCAGCUUUUUCUUCGAGCCCUGCUUCUCCCUUCCCUUUCUCCCCAUUCCUACCAUCUAAAAUAGGCCUAUGGAUUAUAGCAAAGUGGUAAGGCAUCGGCUUUUGGAAUCGGCAUGCAAAGGUUUUAAUCCUUUUACUCCAGAUUAUGAAUACCCGAUCGGAUCUGUCAAGAACGAACUGACGACUACAAGGGAAGCAGCUGACUGUAGUCCCUGAGCCCGCAAGCCAAAAGUUUGACUUGAACCUACUUUUGCUAAGAUAAGAGAGAGAAGGAAAAGACAGAUGGCAGAAAGAAAUCCUUCCAACCGAGGAAUUGAACACAAGACUGACUUCGGCCAGGUUCUUUUAUCAAUCUCCUAGCCCUAGCUUAACUCCUUGUUUCGUAAACUUGUCGCUGGUAGAUCUGAUCGGAUCCUGGACAUGUGAGGGACCAGCCCAGGAGGAAUGCAUGGUUCCCUGGCGCUUCAUGGGACGGACGUUCGCAGUUCUUCUCCAUCUAAUCUAACCCUACCUCAUUUGCCUAGGCCUGCUGGCAUAAUAAGAGAAUGAGGGAGCUAAUCUGCUUGCUUGUGCAGGCAAGGGCUGCUCGACUAGGGCGUGCCAUAGGUGACCUAAGGGCCACUUGACUGGUUGGAGAGGAGCGAAAAGCCAGGAAAGAAGCGAGGAGGAAGCAAAGUUGUCUACGAAGCUUUGCUUCUCCCCUUGUAGUCGUAAUACUCGGCUUGUCGCUACUUUGAUUCAAAAGGUAACCGAAGGUUCCCAACUUUCUCUGCUUUCCACAAACGUAACCACUUAUCAUUCUGACUACUUCAUCCAUAAACCUUUUUUUAAUUUCAAAAUAGCGAUACGCUUUAAAAAAGUAAAGGAUAAGCUUCUAUUCUAGAAGUAGUAGCUUCCCGCCUCCCUCGGGGUGAGAAGUUCCCUUCCCUUUUGUAAAAUUCCUGAGUGGUCUGCUCAGCAAACGUACAAAGUGGAUCGUAGUUUGGCUGACCCUCUUCUUCCCCCCAUUCAGGUUGGGUUGACCCAGAAGUACAGUAAGAAGGAAUGGAACCACUGGAGAGUCGUCUUUGCCCAAGUGUGAACUGCAGACGACUAACUUUAGAAGCGGAACACGAACCUAUUUCCGCUAUUCUGCGUUCUUAUUGAGCGUAGCAAAAUCAAGGUUGAUGAUAAAGUCAGCGAAGUUUCCAUGGUGUUCUACCUUUGCGUAGUCUCGGUCCACAGUGGAAGGCUCCGCACCUGAGCCUCGUUAGACUCAGCUAAAGUGUAAGGUGUAAGUAAAGAAAAUAAAAGAGAUGAAGUCCGUCCCUUAGCCUAGUCUAUAUCCAUAGCUGAUGCAACUCCGUACCGAUGCCUCACUACUACUUUUAUUUUCAAUUAAUUGACAGCUAAGCGAUUUCAUAACCUGAGCUUUCCUUAGCCAGCUGACCUUACUUUGUAACCUUAGCCUCCCUUUCUUUAGAGUUUUCUAGUUCGACUAAGUGACUUCGUAACCUCAACCUACUUUUUUUCUUACUGUAGCAUAGGCCUUCGCCACUUCAAACGAAUAACAUCCCUCUUUUUUUGAAUUCAAAAGAGUGGGGUCUUACUUAUUUAGGGGGGAUAAAAGACAAAUAAAGGGAUUAAGGGGCUUUAUGAUCGGAGAAAGAGAAGGGGCAUGGUUGGUGUGUCACUGGGUCAGUGGGGGAUCCCGUAGGAAGGGGGGACAACCCACCGAAUUCACAUCAAAAAUUGCCAACAUGAACACAAAUGAAAUCGUUGAAUUGCAUAUAGAAAGAAAACGAACCACUUCUAUUCUCGGAGCUGAGGUAUAUGAAGUAUGGCUUUUUGGUCCCUUUCGUCCAGUGGUUAGGACAUUGUCUUUUCACGUCAAAGAUACGGGUUUGAUUCCCGUAACGGAUAGGUACUCAUUCCCGGCCGCUUUCAGUUAGUGUUCAUUGCUGAGUGAUCGCUCACUAUCUGGCUGGAAAAGAUAGCUCGGAAGCUUCUUCUCUCCCAGCAAGCAAGAUGAGAUCACUAGUUUUGGAUUUUCAAGAAAAAAAAAGAUUUAGAGCCUGAGUCAAUCGAUAGUUGGGAGCAACUUGAAGGUGAAUUCCUUAACCAUUUUUAUAGCACUCGUCGUACAGCGAGUAUAAUGGAGUUAACGAACACCAAGCAAAGGAAAGAUGAACCAGUAGUGGACUUCAUCAAUCGGUGGCGAGCAUUAAGUUUAGAUUGCAAGGAUCACCUCUCAGAAACUUCUGUCGUCGAUAUGUGCACCCAAGGAAUGCAUUAGGGUCUUGUCUAUAUCCUCCAAGGAAUCAAGCCACACACUUUUGAAGAAUUGACAACACGAGCUCAUGACAUGGAGUUGAGUAUUGCAAGCCACAGAAAGACUUCACCUGUUUUUGAUCCAAGGAAGGAAGCUAAAGAAUUAAAUCAACCGUAAAAAUACCAAACUAAAGAAUCCAUGGCGGUGGGAACAACUUCUGUAAAGGCCCCCACUAAGCAAAAGUUGAAAGAAAAAGCUCCAAGUCCAUGGUUGAGAGAAGAGAAAAGCCAGCCAACUUUGAAGGAGUUAGAAGCGAAGGCCUAUCCUUUCCCUGAUUCUGAAGUCCCCGCGAUUCUCGACGAGUUGCUGGUCAAGAAAGUCAUUGACCUUCCAGAGUCAAAACGACCUGAUGAAGCCAACAAAGUCGAUGAUCCCAAAUAUUGCAAAUAUCACCGCAUCAUCAGUCACCCUAUAGCAAGAUACUUCGUCUUAAAGGAGAAGAUCAUGACGUUGGUGAGAGAUGGUAAGAUCAUCAUUGACGCUAAUGACACGGCCGAAGAGAACCAUGCUAGUGCUAAAAUCGAUCACAAGAAGGGAUUAACUACAUAGUAUUCUCCAAGGUGCUCUAACAAGCAAGGAGAGAUCCACGAGAUGUUCUUCCUCAAGAUCAAUCUAAAGUACUGAUGGAAGUUCAUUGAAGAUUCAACACAUCACAAGGAACUCAUUUCAUUUGAGAAAUACACUACAUUGUACCUCUCCAACCAGUCAAGUGGUUGAACACCCCUCUCCUUUAAGUCGAGUUACUUCGCUCCUCAGUAUUUGCAUACUGACGAUUAUUCUUAUCUGUGAUUUCUUUCGUGAAAGUCUCACCUACCAAGGAAGUAUGGCAAAGAUAGUUUAUCCCUGCGGGGAGGACCUCAGCUCAGUACGCAUAGAAGUACAGUCUACCUCUAUUUAGCUCUACUGGCUUUCUUAUACCUAUACCAGGAACCCGAGCCUACCUCUUCUGGUUGAAGUUCUGAUGAAUCGGGUAUUCCCCUCCUGAGCCUAAAUUUACCUGCACAGGGAAAGAUCUCAAUAGGCCUAGUGUGGGGGGAAAGCUCCACUAGAGGGUCGGGGGAAGAAAUAGGCAUGGGGAAGAGUCUGCAACAAAAUAAAUUAAAUAGACAGAGAAGUUCGGUAAGCCUAUCGAUUCAAGUAAGUCUAACUAGUUUAGGCGCCGCCUUGCGGACUUCUAAAAGCGGGUAGUUUUAAGUCUAGAGCCCUAUUCUGGUUAUAGAGUGCGGGUAGCCGAUAAGUAGGUUAGCAAACAGGUGAAUUGAUAGGCUUUGCUCCUCCCUUCGCUUCCAGGAGGAAUUCUAUCAUCCAUGGCAAAGAUAUCAUAUAAUAAGAAAAGGCUUACUUUUCAGAGUGAUCUUUCUCGAUUUUGGAACAGAAAGUCUUGGUUGAAGGCAAAAUUCUGUGUAAUUUGCCAUUUUUUCAGAAAAGAAAAGCAGGGUAGAAAGUCUUGCUUACUUAUUUGUCCAUCUAAGUAAGAGAAGGGGGGUUAAAGUUUAUAGCUAGUCAAAAAAGUGAUAAGAAGGUCUAAUCAUGCUACUUCAGUCGUAUGCUUAACACAUGCAAGUUGAUUAGUUCUCCCUUCAAGAAAGUCAUCGGUUCGAUUCCGAUAGUCGGUUUUUCCCUAUUCUUUUUUUUUGUUUCCAAAGGAAUAUUGUUAUGUUGUUUUGAAGGGUGCACUAAUCCCUUGAAUACGGUACCAACGGGUAUCACCCCUCCAAAACAACAUUCUCUUUCAGGCCUUUCAACGAAUCGAUACGACCCCAGAGAGCCGCUUUUGCUAAAACUAGAGCAGUUUGUUGAAAACUCGCUUCAGAUAUGAAACUUUGAGUAUUGAGAGAUGCUCUUGUUAUUCCCAAUAAGACGACUCGGUAACAGAUUGUCUCUUCUAAAGCGCGACCCAUUCGUUCUACUCACAACAAUCUAAUAAGUUCUCUGGGUGAAAAAACAUUAGACAGUCUAUCUUCUGAAACCAACACUUUUGAUGUUAUUUGACGUACAAUAAUUUCUAUAUGCCUAUUAUGAAUCUGCACCCCCUGGGAGCGAUAAACCUAUUGGAUUUUAUUAACCAAAGAGAUUUGGCUUUGUGCUAUAGUUAGCUCAGCACCAAUCAAGAAUCCCCAAGGAAUUCCAAGAAUUCUUGUUAUACAUUUGUUCCAACCCUCAACCCUCUUUUCUAGAUUCAUGGAUAUUGAAUCAAUCGAACGCACUUCUAACACCUGUUCUACUUUUGGAAGACCUUGUGUUAUAUAACCAGAUCUUGAUUUUUCAUAUAUAAAUGUAACUAAUGUAUCUCCUUCGUAAAGGUUUUUGCCAUAAUGGCCAUUAGCGAUUGCUCCGGGGGUGGCCAAAUAAGGCUUAACUGAUCGUAUCACUAUCGAGUCAACUUAAACAAGUAUAACUUGACCCGAUUUGAGGGCGAUCCAUUUUUGGCUAUACAUACAUUUUCACAAAUAAAAUAUCCAAGACUAAUUAUUUUAGAUGUCUCUUCACAAUAAUUGUGAUGGAUAAAUGACCAAUUCAAAUUGAAUGGAUUUAAAAUAAUGUUACGACAUGGAUCGGGAUACAAAAUUUUUCCAUUUUCAUCCAUUAAAUAAUAUUUAAAUUUAAUCACUUGAAAGGUCUGGUUUAAAUUGUCAAGUUGCAAAUAGUUAGUUACUAAUAUCUGAUUAUGAGUUAUUAAAUGGUAAGAUGAAUAAAAAUUCUCAAUUGGAAGGAAUAUUCCUAAAGGGCCCAACGAAUUCUCAAUUGGAAUUAGGGGAUCUUUUUUAAUUGAUUCUUUUAUCACACUGUGAUAUUUUACAUCCUUAAAUGGCCAUAUUCGAGAACAAUUGGCUGCUGACAAAAUUAUCAACGACUGACAUUCCUUAUUUCUAUUCAACAACGUAUGAAUAGUUCCUUAAGGUUGGUUAAGAGAUUGUUGAAUUUUUGCCUUGGAAUAGGAAUAAAAGGAAGAAAAAGGGUUGAUAUUGGUACAAUCUGAUCCAUUAUCAGAGAGCAAUUCUGACCUCGAUGGAUCAUUCCUUUUUCCAAUAUACGAAACAAGGGAUUUCACUAAGUUAAUUCUUAGGAAAUGUCAAAUCAAACCAUUUAUGCUUAUUUCAACAAAAGAAGCACGGGAUUCUUCGCAAGAAGAACUUUUUUGGUCUUGGUUCCAAUUCAAUACUAAACAAGUCCAAACUAAUUUAAUACUUGUGUCAGAAAUUCCUCAAUUCGGUUUGCCAUUUCCAUAAAGGAUAUAAUUGACAAUCCGAAGUUGAACAUUAUCCCUUUCCUGCAAUGGAUCCAGUGGAAAAAAGGUUGCUAAAUUUAUACCAUCUGUUAUUUCAUAUGUGACGACAGGUCGAACUAAAACAAAAAAACUUUUCUUACUAAGUGUAAUCCGUUGGACAUAGACCCAAUUUUUCACUUUUUUGGAUUCCUUGGAAUUUCUUUUUCCUGUUCCUGAUGGUAUCAAAAUGCCAGUAUAUCUGGAUAUCUUAUCUGUCUCUCCGGGAAAUCGAUAUCUCCAGAAAAGAUUUUAAGUUCAAUUCGUUUGUUUUUUCUCUCCACCCGGACCAACCCACCGACUCGGCUUCUUAGAUUUAAGGUGAUUUGUGUAUCUACCCCAACUCUACUCCUUGAUGAAGUUCAUUAAUUUCUGCAUUUUUCGUCUGUACUUUACUAAAUAGUCUAGUUAUAUUAUUGAGUAGGAAAUGACGUAGGUAAAGUAAAGGGGUCAAUUAUGCUCUAUCAGUCUUGGAAGGAUUCCAUGGAGUAUGCUUUCCCCUUUUUGAAAUCAUAGAGCUCAGGUUUUUCCCUCUCCUAAUCUGUAUCGACUCUACUCGUAAAAGGGGCAUUAGAUCGAGGAAAUGUUGGGGGUCUAUCUGCCAUAUCACUUAUUUUUUCUCGGGCCAAUACUUCAUUCUCUGCUUUUUGUACUCGUUCGAUAAGACGAAAUGAAGAAAAUUCUUAUCCCCAAUGAACUGAUUCAUGUUUGUCGACAGGCUUCUUGACUCCACUACUACCCACCUAGAGUCAACUAUUGAUCCGUCGCCUGAGCCCCUUUUCCUUUCGUCCUUUCCUGAGGUACCUUGUUCUUAUUUUUGACACUACUAUGGUUUGUGUCUGACCCAGCAUAGUGCUUUUCUUUCCAUUAUUCAUUAUUCUUUGAAGCCGCAAAAUAAUAGUGAGGUAGCAAGGAUCCCUCAGUGUCAGCAGGCCAUAUCUGAGGAAUUUCCAGUCUUAUAGAAGACGUUGUUCAUUACCAUAUCAGAUAAAGAGGGGUUCCAAACCUCAAAAGAACACUAUUAAGGGAUAUUCAAACUCACUCGUCAGUAUCGAUCUGAGAAUACUUUUUCCCCACUGUAAAAGGUUACUUUUGUACGGGCUAUGAUUGAAAGGGAAAGAAAGUAGCCUUCGUUCCAGUGAGAUGUGGGGAAUUUUUUUUGAAUUGAAAAACUACAUGAGGGGAUUUACAUGCCACCUUCGCCAGGGCGAUCAGUUUCUUCACAUCUAGUUAGUCGACUCAGGAAGACGUUGUAUGGACUAAAACAAGCAAUCGCUCAGAACUAAAGGAUCCUCGCAGGGAUGCAUGCUACUAUUCUUCUAUUCACAUUCACUGGCGAGUAGCUCUCUAUCAACAUACUGAAAUGACUAAAAAAGCAAUAACUUCAGCAAAGUCACAAAAAGAUCAAGUGGGCUCUCCACAGCCCUAAAUAGGCAGAUGCCCUCUUCGUUUUCUUUUUGCUUGAUUUGGCUAAAGUGGCAUCUUCGGUGAAUGAAACUGCUCAGAUACGUAUCUAGGUUAUUGAACAUAGUUCAACAAAUACAAUAAAAGAAUGCAAGGAAGGGUUCCCCAGGAAAGGCAUCUUGACUGCUUCCAAAAUAAGGUCAUCGACCAGUAAUGCACCUUGUAGAAUACUCCCUACCUAUACCUAGCGGAGUUGGCACUAAUGCACUAAUAAGGAGAGCAGAAAACAGCUACCGGCCAUCAGGAGAUCCACGACUUUAAGACCCGCAUGCAAGGGAAUAUUCUCUUUAUUCCCACCUCAAUCGAUUAUACUAUGGCGAAUUCGUAGGUUCAAUUCCUGGUGGAUGCACUUCCUGCUGGAUGCACUUGGAACCUGAAGUGAAAUCGCUGUUCACGGAAUUUAUACAUAUAGCCCACCCUUCUUUAUGGGGCGCUUCACUCACUCAAUACUCGUUCAAAACAUCCACUCCUUCUUCACUCGCUAGGGAAACAAAAGGGAUAGAUGACUGAAAAUCCCGCUUAGAGAUCGCAACUAUAGUCAGAGUAGGAGUUCCCAUCCAUCAUCUCCGUCGAGGCCUCAUUUGACCUACAAAUUAGGUGGAUCCAUCGGAUUUAAACCUCCAUUAGAUUCGGCAACUAAGGACGAGAUUACCAUAGGUCCCAAAUAAUCUCUUUAAUAGGGUAGCCUUGACCAGGCUCUUCACCAUAGAACCUUACCCGAAAAACAAAGCCCAGGCGCAAGUGACUGACUUAGCCUCUUGCUAUCGUUCUUUCGGAAGAACUGAAAAAAUCAAAGUAGAAUAGGGAGCUUGAUUCGAAAGAAAAGUAUACAUUUAAGUUAAUCAAGAUAGUUAGUUAGAUUACGGAGCAUUCCACUAAAAAAGUACGACAUCGGUUCUUGCGAAUGAAUCUUCUGUUGGAAGAAAGCUAUAAUUAAAAUAGUUGGGCUCGAUCCCAGAUGAAUAUCGCUUAUUCUGGUGUUUAUCAGUGGUGGUAUACAAUCAGUUUUUGCACUAAUCAAGAUCUUUAUUAAAACAUUCAUUAUUCUAUUAUGUCUUUCUUUCUGAAGGGCUUGCGGUUUAUUACACCAAAGGCUUUCUUAAUAGAAUUCAACGGAAUAGAGGUUAGAAAAGAAAGAGGGAAGAGAGAAAGCAAAGGCUUUGGCUGAUGUAGAUUCGGCAAAUGAUUACUCUUCUUCAGGUGCAGAUGAGGCUUAUGGGGAAGAGGAGGCAAGGGCAAUAAAAUCAUAAAGAAAAUCCUUGUCCAGGAAAGGCGUAUUAAAAAGGAUGUCCCUUAUAAGAGCUUCAGAGGGAUUUUUCCUCGACUAGAAGAGGUCCAAUCCUAAGGGCUCCUAACAAGGUCUAGUAGUUCUGUCCAUCUACUUUCUUAAUAUGGAACUGGGAUUGAGACUUUCACUUUCAUGCUAUGAGUUGAAGAUGGACUAAGACCAAGAGCAGUCCAAUCUUUACGGGAAGGAAAUUUUUUUGCUCGACUUCCUGAGGCCGACCCGUAACUCCUCCUUUGAUCUAAGUCAGAACUUUCAUACUUUGAUGUUUUCCUCCCCACUGUAAAUGCCUUUCUUUUUGCUGACACUGGUAUUUCAUACCUCUUCGCCUACUGGGAUAGUAGAAAAAGGGUACUGCCCUUCUGUCUUUUGAGGAAAAACUUUGAGCUUUCGAGCACCUUGAUAAAAAGAAACCUCUACCUCCCUUUCGGAAUCGGUUUAAGCUGCUGUAGCAGUUUUUCCUGUGGUAGUAUGGGUAUUAUCGAGAGUGUGAUCCCCUCAUCAAAGCACCCUUUAGCUUUCCCAAGUCUGGUCUUGAGACCUUGCAGGAUAGUCCUAUUAGUGACUUCAGUCUGCCCCUUGGCCUGAGGGUGUCCAAGGUCUCUUUUAGGUUUGCCACUAGGUCGGGAACCUCUAUACUUUUAAUAAGCAUGUUGUCAACAUAGACCUAUAUAUUUCUUCCAAUCUAGUCUCGGUUAAGCCCAACGCUACAUAGUUAUGUAGCUCUUAUGGGAUUCAAACCCAUGAUACAAGAAGGUUGUAUAUAGAUCUAGCAAAUCAGGUUCAAAUUCGAAUAGAAAGAAGGCCAUCAACCUCUCAUUCCGGAUAUUCAACCUCUUCUGAAUACAUAUUCUAAAUAACCCAGACUCCCCUAACGGAUAAGAGAACUAGUCCGUUAUGAUAGCUUUCCCUCAGUUCACUUCUACUAAGGCAGUAGCUUCGGGCAAGUAGACUGACUGAUAUGAGAUUGAGUGAGGAAAUGACAAAGCCAAGGCUAACUCUCUCUCUUGCACUAGUUAAUCAUAUGCCAUCCUUAGAGUGCAGCAGGGACACCUUUAAAGAAAGGGUCUUCGCAAGUAUACCGCUUUCUGGCCGUGUAAAUGAAAUCCAUCCCUUACUGAAGAAAGAUUGCAUCGCUAGUUGACUCCUCCUUGUCGACAGCUAGCAGUUUUUGGACUCGCUAUUGUUGCUUUAAGGCUUCCUCCUAAAGGGGAAGACCUGCUAAGGCACUAAUAAGAGCAGCAGUAGCAAUAGCGGCCCCCCUAUCUCUUAAAUUUUCUACCUUCAGAUGGGAUGCUGGCUACUCUUAGCUGAAUGCUUCAUCCUACGGCUAGUGGAGACAAACGACUAAGAAGAUUGAUGACAAGAGAACACCUUGUGCUUUUACUUUAGUCAAUUCCUUGCUAGAAUAUGCUAUUACUUUCAUUUGGGAAAAGCUAUAUGGCACUCAAAAAGAAUGGAUAGCAACUGAAACACCAAGAGGUUGUUUACUAAUAAAGUUUUUUCCUAAAAAGAUACCGGCUUUCCUAAGAUUCCUAUUGGUCUAAGCUUUCUAUCUAUCCUAUCGCUCUCUUGCUUAAAUUCACUUCCUUCCUUAACUCAGAUCUAAAUGGCUUCUUUUGUUUGGAUCGACAUUAACUUAGGUGUAGAAAGAGGUCAAAGCACGGGCAUGGAAAAGGGAUUCUAUGGUGUGCUGGUCUGGAUGAAAGAAGCAACUAUGUCUACAAUGAGAAUAGCAGGACUCAGCUAGUAAUGCAAUUGGACUUCCAGCAAUAGCAGCAAUGUCACUAGAACCUUUAAUACUGGAGAAUAACUAGAAGUUUCUGGGGAAUACAGCUCUUAAAAAAACCUGGUUUGGCUGGAGAGUGCAGCAAGGUACAGAAGGAAAGAGCUUAUAGGUUUAGUAAUCCUUCCCUCUUUCCUUAUAUUAUAAAUGACUAAUGAAAUAGUUGAGGAUUCCAUUUUUCUAUUACCUAUUAAAAUAAUAAAGUUGGUUAGUAAAUUGAAAGUUUGUCUAUUAUGCAACAUUGAAACUAUAGUGCAGAAAACAACAUUCCCUUAUGUUUAAAAACCUUUUACCUGGUAUGUACUGUCAUGUCCCUAACCGGGGAAAGGAUUUAGAAUCGUGAUAAGGAUUUAUUUCGAAUAGCUAGUAAAUUCAUUCUCUUAGCCUGGGCCUUUUUGUUUAAGGGCAACUCGCCUUAAGGAAGUGGGUUAGCUUAAGUUCUAAAGGAAAGAGGCAAUGAGUUCCACUGCAAGUAAAGUUCACGCCUUCCGGUAAAGGUAGGUCGGGGAAUGCCAUCAAGCAACCAAUUAUUUCUUUCCUUCACCCAUCAAGGAAGAAAGCAGAAAGUAUUUUACUUAAGACAGCAAAAAAGUAUAGAUUGUGAGAAAGAAGCUCACGGUGCUGUGCCAGUUAGUGCUUCGCUCCUUCCGCUAAGACUGCUUGUUCUAGGGCUCGUGUUAUCAUUCCGAGUUCAGGAAUCUUGCACAAAGGUGAUAAGCAUGCGGAAGUGUGUGCUAAAAAAUGGACUUGAGUUGACCAAUAUGGUUUGGAGGUGACUCACUUGAAUGGUUGUACGCAGCCUAUUCAACCCGAGGAAAAAAACCUGGUGUUUUUUCUGAUCGCUACGCAUUUCACCACUCCAUCAGAAAUUCCCUAUGCCCCUACCGUACUCCAUCUUGGUAGUUUCCACCACCUGUCCAGGGUUGAGCCCUGGGAUUUGACGGCGGACUUAAAGACACUACAGAUGCUUUACGCCCAAUCAUUCCGGAUAACGCUUGCAUCCUCUGUA
rnacentral:lncRNA from 1 species